CACACACACACACUCUCUCUCUCUCUCUCUCUCUCUCUCUCUCUCUCUCUCUCUCUCUCUCUCUCUCCCUCUUAACUCUCUAUGCUCUCUCUCUCUCUCUCUCUCUCUCUUUCAGUCUAAGCUUUUGAGAUCAUCGAAAUGACGAAGAAGAAGAGUGACGCACCGAUGAAACAGAGCAAUGAAAAGGUCAACUCCGGUUGAAUUUAAAUGUUGACUUAGUUGCUUUUUUCUUCUGGUUCAAUUUUCUAAUUCUAUUUAGUUGAUUUUCGCCUAUGAAAGUUGCUUGAAUUGAUUCGUUGUCGGUCAUUGAUUCGAUUCGAAAAUUUAAUGUUCACAUCUGUUUGAAGUUAUUCGCAUGUAGAUCCACUGUUUUGAACCAAACUUAUUUAGUCAUUGCUCAUGUUUGAGGCGUCUUUUAUUUUAACAUUGAUUUAAAUACUCCGUGAGCUGAGGUUUGGUCAAGCGUCCAAAGUGCCGAACCGAGUGUCAUGUGACUUCCUUGUCGACGCACAUCCAAGUUAUCCAUGUCAUCGAACAUCAAAUCGAGUAUGACCGGGAAGGAAAACUGAAGAACUUCGCAUGUACAACAUGUGCUCCCUUCCUGAGGUUGCUCUCAACUCAGCUUGCUUUUGAUCUGCAUUAGAUGGCCACAAAUCACAAGUGAGGUGUGUGUAAUCUCACUCUCAGUCAGAUCAGUACAUGUAUGUAUAACUAUGCUAUCAAGACCCACCUCGAAUUUCACCCCGAAUUUCACCCGAAGUAAAUCCUGUGGGGUCCACCUCCAAGGAAAAUUUUACCAAAAAUUCGGCAUAACCUCCAUUGAAAAUAGACAACCCUAACCUGAAAAAAAAUCCAGAUAAACACUUCUAUGACAAACCAUCCAUCAUUAACUCCUGGAGCCAUCCGCUCCCCACAAACACAUCCACCACAAUAACAUUAAAUCAUUUCCAACUCCAUCCUUAAACAUCCAAAAGAUAAAUUUUACACCAUCCUUUAAAUACUUCUAAAAUAGAUUCAUGAGCCUUAACAUGCAACCAAAUAUUAUAUAAUACCCCCAAGGUAAUCAGAGCUACUAAAACUAGAGGAAGCAAAAAAAUACACUGGUAGGUUAAACAUGUAACCUACUGGUGAAAAGUGGCGGUGAUGUUGGUAACUAUGCCUCGCCUCCUACUAGUACCGACCCGAACUCUGCAGACUGGGCAUUUAAAAUGAAGGGCCCAUGGGGAAAACAUUCGAAAACGUUAGAGUGAGUGGACAAAAAUAAAUUUAAAAGAAAUGUACAAAUAAAUAAAUUUAUGCUUUCCUGAUUUAAUUUCAUAGAAAAACUGAUGCAUGCCACAAGCGUUAAAGUUUUUAACUCAUAAACUGACAAAUACUGAUAAUACGUGACUAGCCCCGCUAGUCUUUAAUUUUAUAAAAUAUUUAGCAUCUCAAGCUCUAUUAAAAAUAAUUAUGUAUUUACACACGUCCAUACUCCCUAUAUAAAUUUUAUGAAUUUAAAGAAAUUCAUAUAUGGCUACUACGCUCGCGUCUAACGCUCACGUCACACCAUAAUGGUGGCGGUUAUUCAUUGCGCCAUUAAGGUGGACAGACAUGUGUAUAUAUAUGUGCCCAUACCCCUUAUAUGAAUUAAAACACUCAUAUAGGGCUACUACGCUUGCGUCUCAUGCUCACGUUACACCGUAAUGGUUAGCUAGCAUUUAUAUACAUACUCUUCUCAUAAAUAUACUUAUAUAUAUAUAUGUCCACCAAAAAAUUCUCAUUUUCGGUAACUCUCCAAAAUAAAGAAAAAUUGCCAAAUUAAAAAGACAUCACAUGGUCCAAUAAAAAGCAAUUGUUCAACAAUAACCCAAUGCAUGCAUAUUAUUUAAAACAAAAGUUCACUCACAACUUUAGGUCUAAGUCUGACGUUGUUCCGAGGUCUCCUCACCUUGAGCAUCCUCACGUCUUGUUCAAAAUAUAUAAUUAAAUCCCAAACUAAAAUUUAAUACUUAUAACAAUAUGCAAGAAUAAAAAUGAGCCUUAUACAUCGCUCGUCCUUUCCCAACUUCUCCCUUCUUAAUACAAUAAGGCCCAAACUUCGCCACAAGCAUCGGCAGCCUUAUAACAGCUUUCUAAAGUUUAAACAAUGCUAAUCUAACGGCCGGAUCCUACCUUAAUAACCGCCAAGUUCACCAAUCUUUAGAAAAUCCCAAACCCAACCAAAACUCCUCCAAAAAUUACCAACUUCAUAUCAUUAGACUCCUCUCAACAUAACAAAUUUAAUAACCUGAAAAACUACAUAAAAGAGGCGGCGUCGCCGUCUGCUCCGCGGGCAGCGGCGAUGGCCAACCUAACUCCGGCCACCUCCAAUGCUCACCAAAAUUUAACACAAUCUUCCUCUCAACACGUACAAAAACUUCCUUAACUAACACAAACACCAAUUCCAAGCCUAGGUAGGGUAAUCGAACCAAAACAGUAAAUUAAACCCUAGAAUUUCAACUAUUUGUUUCUCCUUACCAAGAACGAAUUGGACCAAGUCCUUUUGAGGGUUUACUACCCGAGAUGAGUGCUACAAGAUGGGACAAGAAUCGCUGGCUAUAGCGGCCGAAGGAGGGAGUUCCGACGAGAGGAUAGUCGAGCUGUCUAAGAGAGAUUUCCCUCGUACGGCGGCGUUGCAAGUUCACUCACCACCCUAAGAAAAGAGAGGAGACGACGGCGGUUCGAAUGGGACCAGUGCGGCAACCCAGUUUGACUAGACAACGGCGGUCGGUGGCGGAAGUUGCCGGCAGGGAAAGAGAGACUCGGGGAAGAAGAGAGAGAGAAGAGAAAGGGUUUGGGCUUUUCCAAACCGGUUUCUCCCGAUCCACAACCUUAAUACACAACCCCAAAAAUAUAACCUAAUAAAAAAAUUACAUUUUUUUACUAACUAAAGUUUACCCUUUUUACCACCUUCAAAAAUUUCUCCAACGUAAAAUUUUCCGAAUUAAUCAUCUUACAAAAACAUCUCUAGGGUCCUUUGAAACUAUAAAAUCAUUAACGAAGAAUGUAAAAACUUCUGCUAACACCAUGCAAGUGAUUAGGGUAAAAAUUAAGAGUUGGGAUGUGACAAUUCUCCCCCUCCCCCCUAUUAAAAUUCCGUCCUCGAAAUUUACAUACCUGUUAAUCAAAGAGGUAGGGAUACUCUUGCCUCAAUUGCUUCUCUGGUUCCCAAGUAGCUUCUUCUACUUGAUGACUCCUCCAAAGCACUUUGACAAGUGGAAUUAUCUUGUUCCUAAGCACAUGUUCCUUUCGGUCAAGAAUCUGAACCGGUUCCUCUUCAUAGGUUAAUUCUUUCUUUAAACUAAUCGGUUGCUCUUGCAUUACAUGAGAGGGAUCGGCAAUGUACUUGCGAAGCAUGGACACAUGAAAAACAUUAUGUAUCCUGGAUAAUUCUGGAGGCAAAUCUAACCGAUAAGCAAGUGAGCCAACCCGCUCUAUUAUCUCAUAAGGACCAAUAUAUCUUGGACUAAGUUUUCCCCGUUUACCAAAACGUACUAUACCUUUCCAAGGGGAUAGUUUCAAGAACACCCAAUCACCCACUUAAAACUAAAGGUCCUUCCUGCGGAUAUCUGCAUAACUCUUUUCCCUACUUUGAGCUGCUUUAAGUCUAUCUCUGACUAUCUUAGGGCCAGUUUGGGACUGAUGUGCUGUGAGAGUGCAUUACACAAAAUAUAGUGAAGCCAUUUCAAAUUGGAACUAAAUGCUAAAUAGAUACAUUCAUUAAACUUUGUGCAAUGGUGUUUCUUAACACCUUCAUUUCUUGUCUUCCCAUCCCAUGUUCUUCAAGUUCAUUGUCCUCCAUAUCUUCACUAAUCUCUUCACUUUGGAAAUCAUCACUUUCAUCAAAAUCAUGAUCUUGGUGAGCAUACUUUCUUAUGUAGUUAUGAAGAGCCAUUGUAGCAACAACUAUCUUCACUUGUUUUUCAUAAGGAAAGCUCGGCAUUCAUGCUUAAAUUGUAAGAGAACAUCGGAACAGCAAAUUAAUUGAGAGCACACCUUAAUUUUACUUUUCCACCAUUCAGCAGAGGCAUCGACAGUCUUCUUAAGAGGAUCCCAUCCAAUAGAACUCCACAAUUUCCAGUCAUUUUUAAGUGACUCCCAUUUGUUUUUCAACUGGCCUUUAGUAUAAUCUCUUCCGGUUGAGUCAUUAAAGGCUUUGACAACAUUUUCCCAUACCUUUUUAUCAAAAUGAGUACCUGGCCUGUUUCCCUUUGCAACUUCCUUACGAGCUAUAUAACAAAAUAUAGCUACUAUAUCAUCAGACCAUAUGGCCUUUGUUUUCCUAGUUCCCUCAGUUUCAGUACUUGUAGUUUUCUUUUUUCCCAUCUGACGGGAAAGAAAAUUAAAAGAAGAAGGAGCUCAGAGAACAAAUGAUACAGACAAACAUGUUUACCUAGAAUCAUUCACAGGUUGAAUAGAUAAGAUAACUGAUCCACCAAUUACUCAAACAUAUCAAAUUCACUUUGAAUGCAUAUCACAAACUUUAUUUCUAUCCUUUAACAACAUAAGCCAUUCAACAAUUAUUUAUUUGUAUUUUUUUGAAAAAGAACAAUCACAUACUAUGCCUAACAUGCAUAAGGCCCUAAUUAGAAACGUCAAGUUCUAUUAGCCAUGUCCUCCUUACAAAGCUUACGAUUUUGUUAUUAAGAACCACAACUACUAGCUCAUAGAGCAUUGACACAAAAUCUUGUAUCAAUUACAGCGAAAUAAAUUCAUGUACCAAAAACAUAACCAAACAAAAUACGUACAGAAGUCUUCCACUACCAAACUCAAGCUCAUUUUAUCACAAAGCCCUUUUUCUUUUGGUCUGGUUUCAUGUUUUUAGACUGAGUGUGUGUACUUAUCUAUAGCUGAAAGAAAUAUCCAGUAUCCCAGCUACAAAAUGUUACUAUCAGGAAAAUGUUAGAUAAAUUAACUAUAGGUAGACAAGGUAUGAAGGUAAGAAAAACUAUAGCCAAGUACAUGUCAAUUUUAUCACAUACUAUGCCAAGUGCAAUUGCAUACAAAGAUAAUGAAGACGUUCCAUAAUAUUCCAUGUAAAACAGGUUUCCAAAUAAACUAGUUUCCAAAUUAAGCCUACAAGGUUCAAAUUGCAGUUAUAACCACAAAUCACCAAAUCUACUAACAGUAAUGAACCCGAUUACAAUUUUAUGAUAAUCAAGGGCUAUUAACAACUCCCAAAAUCUAGCAAACCCAACAACCUAAAAUUAUGAUAAUCAAAACUAAAAUCAUACCAAAUAGUUAUGGAAAAGAUUUAAUCGAUAAGAGGUUUUACCUUUUAGGUUGGGGACGAAAUCGCUCUCCCAAGAUCUCAACAAGGUUCCUUGAAUCUUGAAUUAGCGACGAAAGAGUUUUGGAGAACGACGUCGCUGGUUUGCCUGGACUGGAGUGAGGCAGUGACGAAAUCGCUCUCCCAAGAUCUCAACAAGGUUCCUUGAAUCUUGAAUUAGCGACGGAAGAGUUUUGGAGAACGACGUCACUGGUCUGCCUGGACUGGAGUGAGACGAUGAAGAAAGAGAUAGGGUUUAUUUGUGAGGGUUCUUUUCAUAACGAAUGGGGAUAGAAUAGGAUUUACAAAAAAUUCAUUAAAGAGAAGCUCCGUGUUUUCCAACCGAUUCCAGCAAAAGUAUCUCCUACCCUACUUCUCCAAAAUCCACUUUUAAGAGAAUCCAUUCUUCUAAAAUUAGUUUUAUGGGUUUUUACCAAACACUUAAGGUUACGCCCAGAAUCACUUUUGACCCCAAAAGCAGCUUGGGAAUCCCAACCAAACUGGGGCCUUAAUCUUCUCAUUUGUAUCAUGAAUUAUCUCUAGACCACAUAACUCUUUUUCUCCUACUUCAUUCCAACAUAAAGGUGUACGACACUGCUUCCUGUAAAGUGCCUCAAAGGGAGCCAUACCAAUGCAAAAUGAUAGCUAUUGUUAUAUGCAAAUUUGUAUCAAAAUCCUCUGUACUUUCUUUGUUUGUUCGGUGUAUUUUCUAGUUAUUUACUUUGUUUAUUUGUUUUCUAGGUGUUCCUAAGCAAAUAAGAAGAAAAGAAUGAAAAGAGGGAGUGGAAGACGAAAUUCAGAAAUCUGCCUUUGAAAGUUAGCCAACUACGACGGAGCACUAAGGGCAGCUCGAGAAGAACCAGAUGAUGAGUCUUAUAUCAACGGAAAGUUACGGAUGUCAGCUUUCCAAAGCAUUUUACGGUUCAUGAAUAUCAUUUUCGUAGAAGAAGUUAUGGCCAAUUUAGUACCAUAAGGUCAAUCUGCGCGUGAAUCUGACUCUUGAUGGGAAUUUGUGUUUUGAGGCCCAAAUCACACCGGGAGGCCCAUGGACGAGUUUGUACUUCAUUAUCCAACUUAUUAUCUCGAUGUGAAGCUGAUUAUGAAGAGUUAAAUGAGUUGGCACACUUACAUUGGUCCUACAAAUGUACACCAAUCAAAAUGUCCAAGGAAACCUAAAUCAAGAAGGAUUGGUUGAAAGAAGCAAUAUAAAAGCUUGUGCUAUCAUUCUUGACAGCUUCCUCUUAUUCUUCUCCGCUCCUCCUCCCAUUCUUCUGUUUUUGUUAUAAUGUCUAUUUAGUUUCUCUUAGUUAGGGGCUUCUUGAAGCCCUAGACAUGAACAACAAGAUUAUUUGAGUUUUGGUUUUAGUUUCAUUUAAUCCAAGAUGAGAUUUGGUUUCAUUUAUUAUUGCAUUGAGAUUUGGUUUCAUUUAAUUCUUUUCUUGUAUGCUUGGAGUGCACGCUUAGUAUACAUGUUAGGGUUCUAUAGCUUUGAUAGUUUGAUGCCAGUGUCAAUAUCGGACUCCUCAAACUAUCUAGAGAAGCAAUUGUUAGUUUUCGCUAGCAAGUAAACUAAAUCCUAGGUUUAGCAAGGCGCUAAGUUUAUUGCGAUGUCUUGUGAUGUCUCAAAUCCUUUUAGAACUUAAGGAUCUCUACAUGUUUAAUCUAAUAAGCGUCUUUUAGAUUGCAUUGCUUGAGAAUAGUUUAGGUGCAGAGCACUUCCUGCCUAGCGUACGAAGUAAGAAAGGGUAAUAGGUUGUGUUUCAAGCGUACCGAACCAACCUAAGCAUCUUCAUCCAGAUUAAUUGAACUAUAACUGAACAAAUUGUCUUGCGUGUGAUUGUCGGGGUGGAUUGCAUCUUCCCUAGCUAGUUUUAUCCCAUUGUUUCCCAAAACCAAAACCAAAACCAAAAUCAGUUUUCGUCACUAUUUUGUCCUCCGGCUUUCAGUAUUUAUUUGACAUAGUAAACGAACUUCGAUUCAUCUGAAUUUUUGUGUGUGAGUCCUUCUGUGUGUCUAGUUCGAGUUUGUAAAUUCUUGUAUUUUUCCGACUUGUUUAGGUUAGUCAACUAAUUAAUUAGGUUUUCGACUGCUGUUCGCUAGGGUCAGAAGUCACUUUUGUGACAUCUUUUGAGUAGUUGGAUUCAUUUAGUCCUCUGCGGGAAUGACACUUAUUUACCAAUACUAUAAACGAUGAUCUAGUAGUGAAUAGGGAAAAUAAAUUGGUUUAGAAAUAACCGAUCAAAAUUCCAUCAAAGAUAGGUUCUUAUCCUAACUCCCUCUGAACUGCAUGGCACAAGAUCUCAACAUAUCCUCCAAAGUCUGAAUAGUCCUCUCCGAUUGCCCAUCAGUUUGAGGAUGAAAAGCAGUGCUGAAGUGUAAUCGGGUGCCUAAAGCUGCCUGAAGAGCUCCCCAAAAUUUAGAAGCAAAUCUAGGAUCCCGAUCAGACACUAUUGAUUCAGGUACACCAUGGAGUCUCACAAUCUCAUUCACAUAAAGUUUCGCUAACUUAUCCAAUGUAUACUUCUUUCCCACCGGCAAGAAAUGUGCAGAUUUGGUGAGUCUAUCAACAAUCACCCAAAUACUGUCAUGCCCAUCACGAGUAUGAGGUAAACUGAAAACCAUGCUGAUGUAGUCCCACUUCCACACUGGAGUAGUCAGCGGCUCACGCAACCCGGAAGAUUUCUGCCUUUCAUUUUCACUUGUUGACAAAUCAAACACCUAUUCACAAAAGCUUCAAUUUCUCUCUUCAUGUUUGGCCACCAAUAAUAAUCCUUCAAAGUCCGAUACAUUUUUGUGCUACUCGGGUGUGCAGCAUAUGCGAAACUAUGAGCUUCCUCCAUUAUCUCCUUCUUUAACUCUUCAUUUCUUUUCAGGACACAAAGUCUAUUUUUGAACAAUAAGGUUUCAUCUCUUCUAACUGAAAAAUCAAUGGUGGUUCCACUCAAAGUUCUUUCUAUCAACUGAACUAUGGAAGGGUCAUUAUACUGUGCCUCCUGCACUUUAUCAAUCAAAACUGGUCUCACAUGGAAACUAGCUACCAAUGCACCAACUUUAUCCACCGAUAGAUCCACCCCUAUAGCUCAUAACUCAUAAAGAAGUGGAACUUAAACCGUCCUUAUAUGUGAUAAAAACAUGGAAAGAUUAUGACUAAGAGCAUCCGCUACUACAUUAGUUUUUUCAGGAUGAUACUCAAUAAUGUAAUAAAUUAGUUACGAUGACGAUAUAAAAUUACUUCCGCCAACAAAUCUGUCAGGCGUACGGGUACCAUGCGUGUAGUGCAACUUUUGCCACGUUUAUCUCCCUUACAGCAUGAUAUUGAUCAGGGCCUGAAGAUAUCCUUGUCUGUUCCUUUAUAUCUUCCAUAUAUUUCUUAAUGCAAACUUGUCCAACUUAUGUUUCUUCUUCCAUGUGCUUAACUCAUUACGUACGUACGUAGCUAGUUUUAUCGAGCUCAAGCACUUAAAAUAUAUAUUCAGGCCAAUCUGUUUUCUCUCGAUCGAUCAUAAUACUUUGGUAGUGUAAGAAUAUAAGGUUGACAUCAAUCAUUGAAGCCAAGAUCGUUAAAAAAAUUAGCAACGGACAGAAAUGAUGGGAUGAAUAACAUAUUGGCAAUAGAACAACGUGGGAUGAGAAGAUAUCAUAGUCUAUUGAGACAUGGUAUUGGAUCCAGAGUAAGAUAACCCUUUGGCCCGGAAAUUGAGAGAUUCCUUUGUUUCUUAUCGUUUUUCAAUUUGUUUCUUUUUAGGGUUUUGUUUUUGUUAAUUAUUGGUUGAUAACUCAUAUAUAUCCCAGAACGAUUCUGAUGCAUUGAAUGGGAGCGAGAACUGUAUUGGGGGAAGGAGACUAGUUUUGUUUCCCGCUGAAUAUCAUAAUUGGACUCAUGAACUGAUGAACCAGAAGACAUUUAUAUAUGUCAGCUUAAUUAUCAUCAGAAUCCUUUGGAAGAGUUCCAGGUUUUUUCCUUUUCUUUAUUUAGUUGGUAUAUUGGUGGCCAUGUGUUAUUCUUUCUGUUUUUCUUAAUUAUUUCUCUCAUUGUUAAAUUUUUUUUUUUUAAAUAUCAACGACGGUAUCUCUAAAGAUUUUUUGGGUCUAAAGACUAAUCUACGUCGAUAAGUCAUGUCAAAACAUUUCCUCUCAUAAAAUCACUAAGAAUAAAUUAAGAUUUAACUCCAAUUAACAUCGGCGGGAUUAGAACUUAGGUAUGGAAGUUUUACACCAAGACUCAUACCAACUCAAUCACAUGUGGUGGUUUCUCAUUGCCAAAGUUCAUUUACUUUUUUUUGAGGCAGAUAAAAUUUCUAAUUUACCUUCUGAUUUGACAAAGAUUAACUCACGUAACACAAAUCAAAAUUGUGGGAUAGGAUUGUGAAAAUCUCGUAAGGGCAUCAAGUUGGUUCUACAGUCAUGAAUCAUGAUUAGCAUGUGUCUAAAUCCUACUUCCAGUUGCUACAAAUUUUGGCCCCGGCCUAACAAGCAAUUGCAUGCUCGAUCACCCAAGAAUGUUCAUCAUGUCUUUCCUCAAGUGCAUUAUUAUUUUAGCAAGAGACCUCAUCUUAUCUUGUUGCAAAAGUUUGUACCAUGCAUGUCAACGAAUCAUGUAUCAUAUCAAUGGCACCCCUUUCACAGAAAAACAUAUUGAAAUUCAUAUGAAGUCCCCCAAAGGAAAUGAGUCAUCACAGAAAUCGAUCGAACAAAUGAAAACAUGCAGUUAUUCGAUCAGCAAUAUGAACUUGUAGCUCUCGUUGCAGGGUGAAAUUAACAUUGUCGUUUUGUUUUCGAAACAAAGAACAGGGCUAGCUAGAAACAAAUGGAUAGAAGAAUGAGUAAGCUAGAUUCUUUUUUGUUUUUGAACAGGAGAGUAAGCUAGAUUCGAAGAACUUAGUAAGAGCUCGAUUUUUUCCGACAGGUCAAAUCGCAAAGUUACCACUAGAACUAGCCCCACUUUGCACAAAAACGAUAAGUUGAUAACUCUUAACAACCUUCCCUACGUAGGGUGACUGACGUGUGUCUCUUUCGCUCACCCCACAUUAUGGACAUUUAUCUAUCACCAUAUAUGGUUCACGAUCCAAGAAAAAAACGUUAGGUCAUCAAUUGGCGUCUGUACAUUCUUUCUUUAACAUCAGAAAUUCUCUCGCAUGAUGAUUUACACAACCAACUACUUAUGAUUCUUCUUCUGAAAUAUUCAUCUAUACAAAUUUCAACGAAUCUUUCGUUAAUAAUCUUUUGUUCAUAAUCAUUCUCGAUUCACCUGGUAAGAACUGUACAAUCAAACUUCAUUAACAAAUUAAUACAAACGCUAGUUAAUUGCAUGAAGAUUGAGACAUAAAAAUAAUAAUAACUAAAGUAAACAAUUCAAUUAAAUAUAUGAUGACAUACAAAUUUAAGCAGCUGCGGCAAAUUUUUUCUUGAUAUCAAAGUUGUCAUCUUUGUUGCAUCGAAACGCCAAAUUACUAGUGUUUCACGUUUCAUAAAGGUUUCAUUUCCGAAACGUGUCUAAAACGCGUUUCCACCGCAGAAGGAUCUCGAAAUGUGGCUGAAACGCUUAGGAGCACCGUCUCAGGCAUCCUUCUGCCCAAGUUGUUGUUAUGCGUGACCUCCAAAUUUGCCCAGCUUUCCAUAAUCACGACGCUGACUAGUAUGAAACACUAUGGGUACUCAUCUCUCUUCCUUCCUCCUAAUCUCGAUCUCUUUUCAAGCUUUAUAAUCAACCCAAACCCUUAAUCCCCAAGCUUCUCUAACAAACCCAUCUGAUCAAUUGCUCUCUUUUCUCCUCCUCCAUCAAUUGAUAUAAGGUUGAAAUCCGACCAAAAACCCACCCAAAAUAGGCGACAUGCAUCGGAGGCGAGGAUGGGCAUAUGGUUGUUGUGGUGAUUGAUAUCGGUGGUGGUGGGCUCCGAAUUAGAAUUAGAAGAGGGUUGAGUUUUGGUGGGAUUGAAAGUGGAGGGGAAGAAUUUAUGUGACCAUGGAGGCUAGGGGAGAGAAAGUUAAAAAACCAGAAACGGGCUGAGUAAAUGGUGAGAGAAAGGAGUGAGAGAUAAAAAGGACCUUUUGUUUUAUCUUUAUUACUAAUAAGUAAUAACUAUUUUGUUUUGUUUUCUCAAUCAAUUAAUAGCUGUUUUUAAUAUUAUAUAUAUUUUUUAAUUAUAUUUAUAUAUAAUAAAGAUUAUAUUUAUUUUUAAUUUUAACGUUUCCGUCACGUUUCAUAUCAGACUAUAUUUUAAUUUUGACGUUUUGCGUAUCCGAAAUCGAAACUCAUUUCCGUGCAUCAUAGGUUGUCAUCAUACACACUCUGAAUCACAAGUGAUUUUGUGUUGUAUAUUAUGGGGUAAAUAUUAUAUAGUCCUUGUGGUUUGAAGUCUACAUCUGUUUAGUCCUUAUGGUUUUAUUUUAAUCUGAAUACCUUAAAGUCACGAUUUUUCAUCCAAAUAGUCCUUAUGGUUUUAUUUUAAUCUGAAUAGUCCUUAAAGUCAUUAUUUUUCAUCCAAAUAGUCCUUAUGACCUUUAACUGAGAAAAUGAAUCGGAAUGACUAUUUGAAUGAAAGAUCAUGAUUUUAAGGACUAUUCAGAUUAAAAUAAAACCAUAAAGACUAUUUGGAUAAAAAAUUGUGACUUUAAGGACUAUUCAGAUUAAAAUAAAAUCAUAAAGACUAAACAGAUGUUGACUUCAAACCACAAGGACUAAACAAAUUUCAAUUCUAUAUUAUGUUAUAAGAGAUAUAUCAUUUUUCGGAAGGAACUUCUAUUCAUACCUCCUAACAGCGACACACGGCAUGGUUGAUGAUGGCGCCAGGAGUGUUAGUUUUGUACUAGAGAGAGAGAGAGAGAGAGAGAGAGAGAGAGAGAGAGAGAGAGAGAGAGAUGUAUNNNNNNNNNNNNNNNNNNNNAGAGAGAGAGAGAGAUGAUUUUGAUCUUGAAUCGAUUAUGACUUUUGAUGAAACGAUAAGGUUAGUAAUCGUAUAACCCGUAUAUGGGAAAUGAUUGUAAAUAGAGAAGUAUGUGUGAGUGGUAAAAAAUCAUAAUAUUUAACUACCAAUUAGGUCAUUUUGUGGUCCUUGGCUCUUUGCAUUGAUAAUAAUAAUAAUAAUAAUAAUAAUAAUAAUAAUAAUAAUAAUGAUGAUGAUGUGGAGUCGAUAAAUACGGACGACAAGUCGCCAAUGGGAAUCUCGGGCGAUACGGGAUGGAGUUAAACUGGGCCACUUGGGGCGGGGUCCACUAAUAUUACGGCCUGUACCACAAAUAGGGCACAAAGCGUGCCUUAUUCCAAUCCAAUCCAAACCCAAAUCCAAUCUCCCUCUCUCAGUCUCUCUCUUCUUGCAUGCGUAACCAGAGAGAGAGAGAGCCUCCCUGCAUCAUGUUUAUCUUUUUGUCUUGUUUUCUUUUAAUUGGCGCAACUAGAUCGAUGAUCUAUCCCAUCCCCGUUAGGUUUUGGCAUCAUCAUCAUCACGAGCAAGAACAAUUGUGACCUCCAUCGCUUCCAUAUAUUUCAACACACUACUCGAUCUAUUGCCUACCUUUCCCAUUCUACGUACGUACGUAGUAUUACUCUGUUCACUUCAUCACUUGGAUCUGGAUCUAGACCUAACAGUGACUACUUAGUAUGAGAACACAUCGAUCGAUCACUUCAUGACUGUUAUAUACGUACGUCAAUAUGGUUGAUUCAAUGAUUAGGUAGAGAGCCCUCAAGUUGAGGCUUCAUACGUACAGUUCCCAAAAUAGAAACCCUAGCUAGGUAUGGUGCUUCCCUACUACCCAGCUAUAUAUAGCUAAUUCUAUCUGAGAGGUUCCGCAUGCAACUCGAUCAGGUAAACUGCUCCCCAAAACUCUAGCUUUUACUAAUCUUUUCGGUCAGAAGAUCAGUUGCAUGCGGAACCUCUUGGGUGGAUAUGGAUGAGGAGAAUAUUGGUAUGACCUGCAGACUAGCUUGUUGAUAUACUUGCACAUAACAAAAUGCAUGGUAUCAAACUCUAGCAAGACAUGUCUAGCUCCUGCGAUCAAUUUGAAUAUCAAGGUACAGUUAGUGAAAUCAAACUGUGAGAGACAGUAUAUAAUUGAUCACAGUUCGAUUUACGCCAAAAGGGGAGAUUGUGAUCAACUACUAGUGCAAGAAUCGAGCUGGUUAAUUUGAGUUCAUUUCCUUCAGAGUUGAUGACAUGCACAGACAAAAACCAAUGACAUGACAUCUGCAAGUCCCCAUUAGGUUAAUUGGAUUGGAUUCGAUCUUCUUAAUUUUCUUGUUAACUUUGGUAGUAUAUGUGAAUAAAACCAACGAAUAUGCACACAAGUUAAUCUGCAUACUGUCACAUUAUCUAUAUAUAUUUAUAGGGUUUAUGUGAAGUUGAUGCCAUCGACGACAGAGACUAGAUUCUCAUCACUAAUUCGUCAACCUCCCAUAACAAAUCAAAUCUCAUCACAGUGUUGUACUUACAUAGGUUAAGAAAUGACAGCAUCCUAAUCUCCAAGAAAAAUGGAAAUAAACGACUCGCUCUCUCUCUCUUUCACGUGGCCAACCCAAAACCGCCCAUAUCUGAUUAUGCAUGGUACAUGUAGCCGUCCCAAGUUGAUUAACAAGUCAAUUAUUCCUCAUUAUGUAUAUUAUACUAUGUUGAUUAUCUAUGAGGUUAUUUUAUUGAAUGAUUAAGAUGGCUCGCUUUAUAUAUACGACUAGCUGGGGACCAAGCAGAGAUAUCGAUCUAAUCUCUCCCACCAGGCAUUGCGUUACAGAUCAAAUAGUAGGUACAAAUGGUACAUAUAUAUAAAGCAUUUUGUAAUUAACAAGAUGAUCGAGCAUCUGUAUAAACUUAAUUUAUUUUCUUGGUAGGUAGCUAGGUACUUAGUACUCCAUACACUGCACUACCUCCCAAGCAUUUGAUAAUCCACCAAGUUUUAUCUUUGAUGAACUUCUUUCUGUUGAUGCCAUUUUUGAAAAGAUAACAUUUCUCUUACCACAUAUUGCGGUACGUCGUGGGAAUGUGUUACACAUUGUGGGGAUCAUGUCCCAUAAUAUUGACGGGUUGAGUUAUCUUCUUAAGUUGCAUCGAUCAAGGUUCUUUGAGAUGAAAUUUCCCCAUUUGUAUGAAACAUGGUGGUUGUGCUAUGAAACGAAACUUAAGAGUUGAGCUAAGACAAAUAAAUGACACGUACAUUGUCAUCAUUCCAUUGCUUGGUGGAUUAUAUUGACAUGAUAUACAUGACAACUCUAGGAAAACUUAGCAGCAUAGAUCAGCAUCAGAGGAACCUAGAUGCUCGAUUAUCAAUUGAGCGUUAUGUAUUGUUUUAGAGAUUGUGAUGAAGCAAGAUGUUUGAUGAAAUGCAUGCAUAAAUCUUGAUCUAUGAUUAAAAAUAUAAAGACACACUACAAAUUUAUAUAAUGAAUCCCUCGAUCGCUUCAUAGAAUUGUACUUGGGGGAAAGUUCCUAGAACCUAGCUAGCUGGGGUUAGUGUGCAAUAACCUGGCUAGGUGCUUGAGCAAUAUAUACACAUUCGUGUGGGAAAUGCAUGAAUUAUGAGUUAGUGUGCAAUAAUAGGGGGGUUCAGAAAUACAGAAGAUGAUGACCAAAGGCCAUGUUACCUUAGGAUAUUUAGAAGCCAAUAAACAAGUACGAGACAAGAAGAGAAAGGCAUGCCCACAUCCAUAUCCACAUCCUCAUCGUAUUGUAUAUAUGAACCUGAUUUAUAUGUCACACAUAUAGAUAGAUAUGUAUAAUGAGUAAUAAUAUAUAGUGAUCCUGAUCGAGAGGAUUCUCAGGGCCUGAAGCAUGUGGUUGUGAUAUCCCCAGAUCAGAAAUUGUAGCUGAAGCUGCUUUUGAAUUUGGAUUUUCAAUUGGUUCUUGCUUUGGCAUGGGACAGCUAUGUUUUGGCCCUUUCAGCUUUUUGCUGAUAGUGAUUUCUGCCUAAUUAAGUUUCCCUUUCCUCUCUAAUCUCUUAUCUCUAAUCUUUAAUCUCUAAUCUCUAAUCUUAAACCUCAUUGGCUAUUGGUUUCUGUUUAGUUAAUUAUUUGUUUACCACUCUCAAUUCAAACAUUGAUCUCUUUGUUCCCCAUGCUAGCUAUCUAUUUCUUACCUUUUAAAGAAUGAACAAGACUUGAUGCAUGGUUAAUUAUUUUCCUAUUGUUGUGAUAGUUGUGCAUGAAAUACUGAAAUAAUGCAUGCUUAACUUGCUUCCUGGAUUUGGUUAAGUCCUUGAGUUAGCUAGAUUCUUUUCUGAGUUUUCUGUAUCAUUGCCUUUGUAGAUAGAGACCUCAGAAAAUGAAUUUGGAUGUAUAUGGCAUGGGUUGCUAGUUUAAUCAAGCUAGCUAGCUUAUAUGGUUAGAAAUUGAAUUUAGAGCUGUAUGGGUUGCUAGCUAGUUUAAUCAAGUUUAUAUAUAUAUAUAUAUAUAUAUAUAUAUAUAUAUAUAUUAACUGCAUAAUUCAGAUCCAACCUUAAUUCAACACGAUCAUGGCUCUCCUAAUUAAACAUGCAUAAUUUAUAAACCUAAUAAUUAAGAAGAAAAUCUUAAUUGCAACCCUGCUGGACUAGAUAUAUGGUUGCUUACAGUACGGAGAUUAUUAUCAUAUAUAUAUAUAUAUGGUUGAAUCUCUAACAGAAUUUAUUUUAAGAUUGGUUCUAGGCAAGAAGAAGGCACCAGCUGCUAGCUAGCUUUCCAUGAAUAUUUUCAUGCAAAUCUUGACGAUGUUCGAUCUGUUAGACUAUGUCUGGAAUAUCUUGUUCACAAUCAAGUGCCCUACCUUUGGCCAUGGAUUGUCAUCAAGUUUGGUUUCUAUUAUAUACAUGGCUGUCUGGCCCCCCAUCAAUAUAUUUGAUCUUCCUCCCAUGUUAUUGUGCAUCAUCACCAACAUACAAGUACAAUUCUACAAAAUACGGUUUUGAAUAUAGUAUCCCACGUACGUCGGAGACUUUCGUACACACCCGUAAUCGGAGGUCGAUUCCGGGUGAUGGAGCCUAGGCAACUGCAUGUCUGUAGUUGAACUCUUGCCGAGUCACAAAAAACUUCACAUCUUAUGUUUUUGUAAAAUAAUCAUAAGUGAUCCGUGACAUAAUAUCAAAAAAAUUCAGAUUUGGCCUAACUUUGACAUGAUAUCAAAGAGGAUUAUUGUUUGCCUAUCAAUUUUAGGCAAUAUCUUUCUGGUAUAUAAUAAUAGUGCAAUACUAUGAAUGAAUAUAUAUUUAAUCUCUCUCUCUCUCUCUCUCUCUCUCUCUCUCAGUGAUAUAUAUGAAUAAUAUUGAACACACCAAGACAUUGGUAUACUCUACUUUUUCUCCAUGCCUGCUAACAAUUCACAGCCUGGCAAGCCUGAAUUAUUAAGAAGACCAUGAACAUGAUUAAGGUUUGUUUAAGUUAAGGAGGGUUUUGGUUGUUGCUUUGCUGUUUCCUAAUUAAACUAGUACUGAGGAGCCUUAGCCUGCUGGGAUGGAUUAAUUGGCCUCUUUCAAGAGAUUUGCUGGUGUAGAGGUGUCCAGGAAUCUUCUGUCUCCCAAUUCACCACUGCACUCCAUACUAUCCAGAGCUUUGCUAGCUGCACUCCUUUCGAUUUCUCCGUCCAAUCCACGCGUAAAGGAAUUAGAAUGACUAGUACUCAUGAUGCUUAGUACGUACUGCUCAUCAUCAACAUCAUCAUCACAAGAAAAUUCUCUGCAGUUUGCAUAUUGAUCGAGUAUGUUUUGGCUAGCUUCCCAGUGGUAAUUGCUUAUGGAUGAUACAAGUAUAAUUGGCAUGAAGUUGAACAACGGAAGUUCUCAAUGAGCCUCAUAGCGGAGAAUCACUACCUGACCUUUUUCUAUUUCAGGUAAGAACUACAACAGAAGUUUCAUUUUUUGGUGCUUUGUUCUUGGUUUUGCUUUUUAUAUUUUAGGCCAUUUCCUGGUACUUCUUAUCUUCUGGGAACUGAUGAUUCCAACUCGGGAUAAUCAUGAUGGUGUGAAGUUGCAGCUGAACUAUUUGUUUGUUUCUAUAUAUGGACAUAUUUACAAUAUCCCCAUAACAUACAUGAAUAGGGAGAGAAUCUUUAUCUGUUUAUUUAUAGAUAAUCAACAAAAGCUCUUAUAUGCUCUCUACUGGUUAUUGUUCAUUUUUUUUCAAGUAUUCUGAACUGCAUUAGACACAAAUUAGGCUCUCUUCUAGGUUUAAUAGUUGACGGAUAUAUAUUUCAUGCAUGUAGCUUACUGAUUUCAUUUAUGUUGUGACUUGUGUGCAUGAUCCGUCUGUUUUAUGACUUCAUGAUCAUGCAGAGAUUUAGGUUGGAGAAUUCUUGUACAGAUUACUAUACCAGCCACCCACAUUCAUAAUAAGUCUUAUUAUUGCCCACAUCCCAUUUUCUUUUUCUUCCAACUUUGUUACCCGGUUAGAUGUUGGGAGCUUCAGAUUUGAUUCUGAGCCCUUUCUUUUCCUUCAAUAUAUCCUUCAUUCCAAACCUUAAUUAUGCCCUUUUUGACAUAUCUUUUUCAUGUGAGAUAACUAGUCCCAUUCCAAAAAUGCUACCUGCAAUUGUACACCAAAUAGGGAACCAGCAGUGUCAUGGAGCACAAAUGUGGUAUAUGAAUCCAAGUGUCAGUGAAUCAAACACUGUUCUCUUGCAACUGGGGUUAAGGAUAAUUCAAUUUUCAUCAUGUUCCAGACCUUUUCAAUUGUUCCUAGAUGUAGCUGGACUGGUAGACUUGGGUCCAACUUGACUGUGUCUCCACAAUCAAUUAGUGGUUUUAUAUAUCACGAGUUCACAACCACUCCACUCAGUGAUAGUUCUUUCUAUCUCCUCUUUGAUUUUUUACAGAAAUUAUUUACAUGAUAUUAUUGACAUGUAGCUGAUCUAAUAAUUCUUUAGAGCAGCAAAAUUCUGUGUGUUUUUCAAUUGUCCAAAAUAUAUACACAUGUUAUUUCUCUGUAGUUAACAACAGUUUCUGACUGGCGCGGUUUACUCCUUCAGGCAUGGGAACCAAAAUUGAAUACUCCAUCAACAUAUUAGGAGCCUCACAAAGUAGCAACAGCUUAGCUGUUCAUAGAGUGGAUGACUGGGACUAUUUUCAGAAAGUUGGGCUGAAGCAAAAGUAUCAGAAAACUAGAUUUGAGGACAAUCUUCGCUACUCAGUGGACAGAAUGCUCGAUAAGCACAACAUGGAUACCAUCAGAAAGACAAUGCAGAUGCAUGAAGACACCUUUAGGCACCAGGUAUGAUUAAAUUCUAAUGCUUGUACUCCGCUCUUAGUCUACAAAACUAGCUCUGGGAAAUAGUUUGCAGAUUCAAGUGUUAUCAGUUAUCACUUCAUUGAAAAUAACCGUUUUGAUCAAGUGAUGACAGUUGGACACUUAGAAACCAUCAAUUUCUUUCUGGAUAACCAAUCUGUUAUAUAUUACUCCAACACACAAUAUUGUUCUUUAGAAUUCUAGACACUAAGUCUUGUUUCUUACUGAAUCAGAUUGCUGUUGUAUCUGAUAUACUUCCUAGUUUCAAAUUAUUAAUGACAGAAACGAAACCAAAUAUUGCAGAUAUGUGAGCUCCACCGGCUGUACAGUGUACAAAAGAUGCUAAUGGAUGAACUGAAACAAGAGAUAAAUCAAAAUAGAAUUUGGGGUUGCAUGACUAGUAAUGCAGAUCACAUUCACAUUCAGCAGUCUCAGUUGUUUAACCAGCAGCACGCGACAGCUCAAACUUCAUCCGGCUAUAAUAUCCAUCUCCAUAGGUUGAGAGAAGAUCCAAGCUCUAGAGAGCGAAGUGGAAGUUGCUCAGGAGAGUACACCAUGAAAAUUUCCAGGGGUUUUGAUCUCGAAAGGCCAGCUGCCGAGGAAGACAUCUCAACAGGAGUUAGUACUAUUGAUCAAGACCAGACGGCGCCAAGCUCUAACAUGGCAUUGAUCAAAAGUAAUAACAUGAGGAGCAUGGAUGUCUAUGACGAAGAUAGUGAAGAAGUGGAGCUGACAUUAAGCAUUGGAAGCAGCAAAAGCAAGAAAAGAUCCAAAUCUAACCAGCUGAGGCCUCAUUUAGGGUGUUCAGAGCUGGUGAUAAACAAAGAAAAGGUACUCGACUCACCUACCUCGUUAAAAUCAGAUAGAGGAGAUUGCAGUGAUCCCACAACUCCCAUGAGCAGCUCCAGUGCAACAGUUGACCAGGAAAGAAAGCAGCCACAUUGGCUUUUCCAUGGUUUAAAGCUCAAAUAGGACUCAUACUUCAAAUCGUGUGCAUGAUUGGCAAAAUCUAUGAGUUGUUCAUUCUUGAAAUUCUAAUUUAGUUGUCAAUUUAAUAAAUGAACAAUUGAUCAGAUAAUGUUUUUGAGGCAUUUCAUUAGUGCAUGUAUAUAGGACAUAUCCAAACCUUUGUUUACUCCAUCUACCAUUGCAUAUGAUCAUUAUAAUCUGUCAUUUUAAGUACUAGAAGUUAGGCACCGACUAAAAUUAUUAUUCUCUUUUUGGCUUGAUAUUGAAGAAACAACAUUCUUAGUAUUCUGAUCGAAGUAAUUUAAAAGAUGACCGAUGAUCAUGACUAACUCAAACAAGAACUUUUGCAAGUUCUUUUCCUAAAUACCAGAACGGAUCGAUGCCUCAUAUAGAAGCCAAGAACAAAAGUAGAAAUCGUAAUACAGCUAAUGUCUCUUGCAAUCUCAGUAGAAUGAUACUUAAAUUUGUCUCAAGGCAACUGAUUGCUAAAGCAGAUAAUAUCUAUGAAAAACAUGAACACGUUUUGGUUAUUGUUACUCCCCUUGUUCAGAACCACAAACGAAGAGAAACAAAAGCAAGAGCAUUAUACCCUCUGGAGUACAGAGUUUCAUGUCUCAAACCACGUCUUUAUAACUUGCCUUGUAUUGGCUUAUUGGCCCCCAUACGAUAUGCUGUUAAUGUGGUACGGUGCACAUUUAGUAGCAUAAUCACUUCCUUAUUUAUAUUGAACCAUCCAAUAAUAUUAGCUAGUACUUGUGUCCCUCUGUCAUCAAUAAUUGAACAUGCAGAACAGACUAUAUUUUGUUUCUUCUUGAUCGAUCAAUCUUAUUGAGCAUACUGCUAGGUGCAAACAGUACGCGAUAGUUGACAGUUCGAGUUGCAGAAAGUUUCUAUGAGGCCAGGGUCUGCACUCAGCUGCCCUUGUUUUUGUUAGUAUCUGACUAUCUGUAAGUGAUUGUUUGUACAGAGAUUAUGAUGGCUGCAAACGUUUGGUUUGAUGACCUACAGCCCCAGUAUUUCAGUUGAAGAAUGAAUUGUAACAAUAAGGCGUUAGAUAUUGCAAACAUAUAUUCACAUAACUUCAAUUUAUAAUUAAACAAUAAUUAACCAAUUACUAUUAACAACUUUAGUUACCACUCUUGAUUGAAAGAGAAUUGAAAUUUGUGGAAGCAAAUCGAGUGUUUUGGAACACUUAGAACGAAGAACACAAAUAUUGUUUUAUGCAACCAACUCGGAUGUAGGAUCAAAGGAAAGUGUUGAAGUUGAGUCGUGUGUCUCACACACUUUCCUUAAGACAAAUUAUGCCUCCUCUACUGGUGCAAAAGGCUUGAUGACACUUGUCUCCCAGAAUACAACGACUGCUUGUGCUAUGGAGUUGCACUGUUACCAAGAACACCCAACGAACUUGUAGUACAUUCUUUCUAUCACCAGAACAACUAGAACUAUAGAAAAGAUGACUCUUUGAGAGGAGGAGAUGACUAUCGAGUUUAUGUUUCAUAUUUAUACAUGGAGGAAUGUGAUCACCACUUGAAUAUCAUGAAUCCAUAUUCAUGAUGAGCUACAACCUUUCACAUGCCAACACUUGACAUUCUUUAGUUACAAAAUUCAAUCAUCAUCAUCAUCAACAUCGUCAUGUCAUUCUUGGAAAUCAAGGGACUCGAUGUGCUUUCUAGCACAUGUGGUGCCUCAACACCUCUUAUCACUUGAAUGACGUACACCUUCAUUCUUUAAGUGAUGCCCAUUGAACUUCUCAGGUUUUCCUUCAUGUGAGACUGAGAUAGGUACAAUGGCAGUCACAUUCAUGGUCAGCACUUGGGUCGACUCCUUGGUUGUUUUAGUAGAUUUUCCAGAACCACUUCCGGUUGUCAUUUAUGAAACACAACCAUCAUGUGUUUCCUAAACUAGUCUGCUGUUAUCAUUCAAGUUUAUUUGUAUUUAAACAAAAUUCAAUUGUUGAUUAACCAGGUUAAUGUCAGAAUAAUUUGUAUGUUGGCGGUUGGCCUAGUAGGAAAACCAUGUUUUGUAGGCACUCAAUGUAGCAAUACUUUUUUUGUUUUUGUUUUGUUUUGUUUUUUUUUUUAGAAGAAAAUGAAAUUAACUAAAUAGAGGGGCACCUCUAUGACAAUCGUUUGAAACAAUCCAAAUGAAGAGCAUUAGAAGCUUGGGCAGGAACAAUCCCAUACCAUAGCUUAGGAAUACUAAGAGAAUGAUAUUUUUCUAUCAGGGACGAAACCAGGAUUGUGAAAUGCUUUCGGCUAAAUUCUAUCAUAUGAACUUUCAUUUAAAAGAAAAAAAUAUAUUUUUCUUUUUAUUUUAUAAAUAACUAUUUUUAUAUGUAAUUGGUAAAAUAAUGAGCAAAAUGAAUGUUUAAAAUAAAUUAUUUAUAUCAUAUAGAUUUUUCAAGUUUGGAACUCAACCAGUCUCAUUGUUAUUAGCAUUUUGAGAUAAUUAAUGCAUGCAUCAAACAUUUUCCUUCAUUGUAGGAUGAAACUUUAGGUUAUUUAUUAACAUAUUUGUUGAUUGACAAAAUCUACAUGUAUAAAUGUGAUUGGCUAAAAAAUCUCUAUAGGCUACAGCCUAGCUAGACAUAUACUGGAGAAUGACCUACUUCGGCGAGAACAUCCGCUAAAGAAUUAUUGAUGACAGAGAGAGAAAGAGACUUGCUAAACAACUAAAAAGGAUUAAACAACACUAACAUUCCUUUAGAGAAUUUUAUUGUGGAUGUUCUUUUUUAUAGGGGUUUUGAAGAAUUUACGUGACUUUGUUUUCACAUUUCUUUAGCUUAGCUACUAUAUAUUGAGAUUGCAAAUUCAUGUAAUAUUCUUGAUGAACCUAAAUACGAUUGUCAAGAUGUUUUAAUUGUGCACAACUGGAAACUGGAAGCUCUUGAUGAAGAAUGAUUGAAGUGGAUGUUGGACUUUUUUGUUUUCAAUAAUACUUGACAAUUGUAUAGUCAUUCUUGGUGUGAUUAAUUUGUAAUUUUUGAUUGAUGAUUGUGACACGACCCACCCCGAAAUUUCACCCUGAAACCCGGAGUAAGUCGUGCGGGGACCACCUCCAAGGAAAAUUUACUGAAAAGAUUGGUAAAAUCUCCCUUGGAAAUAGACAACCCUAACCCGAAAAAUUUCCAAUUCACACUCUUACUACAGCACGUCCAAAAAUAUAACACACAAUUAUCCAGCUAAAUAAAAGCAAAUAUUAUCCUUCAGAAAUUCUAAACAUAAAGUCAACCGACCGAGCACACCACCGAAAUAAUAUACAAUGAUCCCAAAGUAUUCAGAGCUACUAGACACUGGCGGAAGCAAGAAAACACUAGUAGGUUAAACAGGUAACCCACUGAUGAAAACUGGCGGAAAAGCGAGUAACUAUGCCUCGUCUCCUACUAGGUCCAACCUGAACUCUGCAGACUGGGCAAUUUAAAACGAAGAGCCCAGGGGAAAACAUGUGGAACAGUUAGAGUGAGUGGAUAAAAAUAAAUUAAAAUAAAAGUAUUUCUUUAUGCUUCCCCAAUUUAAUUUUCAAAUAAAAUAAUACUGCAUGCAAUCGCUCAAAAGCGCUCAACUCAAAAAUUGGCAACUUCACGACCAGCACCGGCUAGUCUCCAAAACUUAAUAAAAUACAGCCUCUCAGGCUAAAUUAUAUAUAAACAUAUAUAAGUGUAUGUAUUUACACUCGUCAGACUCCUUGUAUGAAUUCUAAGAACAAAUUAGAAAAAUAGAAAUUCAUACAAGGCUACUACGCUUGCGUCUAAUGCCCACGUCACACCAUAAUGGAAUUGUACCUUAGUAUGGCGAAAAAAGCACGAGUGUAUAUACGUGUGGACUUCCUAUAUGAAACCUAAAUAAACCAAAUAAGAAAAUAGUUUUCAUAUAAGGCUACUACGCUUGUGUCUAACACUCAUGUCACACCAUAAUGGUAUUUUACCUCAUUAUGGCGGAUCAAACACGUAUGGCUAGCUAGCAUUUAUAUAUACAUACUAUCAUCGAAAACAUCCAAUAACAUAUCUACCGAAAAUCUCAUUUUCGGGAUCUCUCCAAAAGAAAUAAAUGAUCAACAGAUAAUUCAUCGCAUGCUUUACACUUAAAAUAAAGGUCCACUUUCAAAUUAGGCCUAAGCCUGAUGACGCUCCGAGGCUUCCUCUGCUCGGGCCUCUUCUCGUCCUGUUCCAAAUAUAUAAUUAAUUUCCCACCAAAAAUCCAAUAAUUAAACAAAAUGGGCAAAAUUAAACGUGAGCCUCCCACACACUUAUCAUUGCCCAAAAUCACCAUUCUUAACUCAAUACGGCUCAAACUUCGCCGAACAUACCGGCAGCCGUAAAAACAACUUCCCACAAAAUACGACUUAAUUUCUACGGCCGGAUUCUACAUUAAUUAAUCGCCAAAAAUACCAAAUUCGGAAAUUCACAAACCUAUCCAAAACUCAUCCAAAAAUUCCAUAACUCACUUCAAUAAACUCCCCUUAAUAUUCCAAAUCUAAAAACAUUAAAAUCUCCCAAACAGCUCCGGCGCCGGCGCCGGCUCCGCCGGUAGCGGCGGCCGGAGGCCGAUUCUGGCGACCUCCAAUUCCUAUGAAAUUUUAACAGCAUCUUCCUCUCAUCAUGCUCUACAAUUUUCCUAACUAGCACAAACCCAAAAUCCAAGCCUAGCUAUGCCAAUCGAACAAAAACAUCAAAAACGCCCUAGAGCUUCCACCUCAAAUUUCUCCUUACCUGAAGUAAACCGGAGUGAGUCCUUUUAGGGCAAGGUAGCUGGGUUGGAGACCUACAAAACCAUACCAAGCUUGCCCGGAUUGGUGGCCGGAGGAGGGAGUUCCAGCGAAAUGCUUCCCGGUGUCUCCGGCGGGAUAACUCCUCUUCCGGCGGGUUAGAGGCUCGGGGGCUAGGCCGGGGAGGGAGAGGAGGUGAUGGGGGUCCGAACUAGGGUGGAGUGGUGGCUGGUGGCUGACUGGACGGCGGCAGCUGGCAGCUGGAAGUUUUCCGGCGGAGAGGGGCUCGGGGGAACUCAAGGGAGAAAGAGAGAAGGAAGAGGGGAAGAGAAAAAAAAACUGAGGGGGAGGCUUUGCACAGCCGGUCCAGCUACAAAAACCCCACCAAAAACAAAAUAAUACCCAUUAAUAACUACCCCUUUUUACCAUCUCAAAAAUUUACUCUCUUAAAUCAUAACUUUUUCAUGCUAACUCCGAUUUUAACACAUAAUAUGUCUACGAACUCGUAUUAACGUCCUCUACAACUUUCAUGAAAAAAGUUUCUCCAAAUUCUAAACGGAAAAGAAAGUCAACUUUAGGGUCCUUAGAUAGUCAACGGUUAUUCAACACGGUAAAAGACUAAAAUAAUACCAAAGUAAAUAACCAUAAAAUAACUUAAGAACCGGGGUGUGACAGAUUGUCUAAUUUUUUGCUUUUGUCAAUCUUAGUGUGUUUUGUAAUUAAUUUCAAUUAAUGCUUGUCUAAUAUAUGUUUUAUCAUUUUUUUUUAAUAAGGACGAUAAAUCAUUUUAUUGAUCACCGAAUUAUAGGAGUACAACAUAAACAUAACACGCCCACAAGGGCAACGAUAAAAAUUACUUAAAUAAUAUGCUAAGACUUGAAACAUUUAUUUCAAAUGAUAAUAAUCAUGGGCUUCCAUUCGAACUAUUAAGUGUCUUCAACAUUACUACUGACAUCUUCAAUUGAUUUUGCUUUAAUCGCAACCCUCCUUCUUUUACACCAUAGCUUUGAGUCCAGAGACAGUGUAGUAGCUAGUAUUAGUACACAUAAUUCAUGUGUAUUCUUUUUCCUCCUCAGUGUCAAUACUCUUGCAUGUGAUUUUGGGCAUCCUCAUUCUUUUUCCUAAUUAGCUCAAAUGUUGCAGAGGUGGAUCGCACAAGACUUUCUACUGUAAUUGGGUACAAUUUAUUCUCAUGUAUGAUUAUCAAUUUAAAUAACUUGAUUCUCACGUACCUCUCUUUUAGCCUCUGACUUUCUAAUUUUACUCGGAUGCGUCGUUCGAACACCGUUGUUGCUCUUUGGGCUAGUUUUUCGCCUUGUUCCUUUGCAAUAGGUUUGUACUGUUUCAUCAUUGCAGAGACAAUGCUUUGCAUGGUGUCUUCUUUAAACGUCAGUAAAGACACACUCACUGCUUCAAUUGCUUGUGCCAACCGCGCUACAUCUUUCUUCAUGCUCUCUAACUGAGACUAAACCUGUUGCUCGUGUGAAUCAUGCGCAUCUUUCCCCGGCAUUUUGGCAUUUUUGCUGCUAGAGCCCCCCUAUUAGGAGUUCUUUCUCCCCUUCUCUUCUUAUGUUGCAUGACUCAGUAGCUUCUGAUACUGGAUAAACUGUCAUGCUCUUGGUUAUAUAUGCCUUAUCCACAAGAGGAUUUACCUAGUAACCACAUCGUCCUCUCACACACACUGCUCGCACAGUAACAACAUGUUCGCCUAGCAUUCUAGCGUUCUAGGACACUUUCUCAUGGCGUCUUCUUAAAAACCUAUCGGAUUUCCAUUGAACAGACUAACCUCAUCCUUAUAGGAAUAAGUAGGGCUUCUUAAGCGGAUCCCACGUAAUUGACGGGUUACAUAAGAUGAGCACAAGAUAUAUUUAUUUUGAAAUUAUUGAAAUUAUGUAUAUUUAGUGAAGUGGGGGUCGAUUACAACAGCUGGUGAAGAACUCAGCUUCUUUGACUAGUAGCUAGAGUAAGGUUUGUUUAUCUCUCUCUUAUUUUUUUUUACUUUUUCUUUUUCCUUUAUUAUUUUUUCAUUGUUUAUCUCUCUUUUUUUUCUUUUUUUUCUUUUUUUAUUCAUUUUCAUUUUCCAUUUACCUUUACGCGUCUAAAGUUUUUAGCGAUUAGGUUAGAUUACGUGAAUAAAAAGACAUUUAUAUGCUUGGAUAUUAUUGUGCAAUACUAUUAAACAUAGGGGUGGGUUCGGUUUUGUUCGGUUCGGUUUUCACCUAAAAUCGGAAACCAAACCGAAUAAAAAAUUCGGUUUGGUUUGACAUUUUUUGAGACCUUGAACCGAAAACCAAACCAAACCGUGGUUCGGUUCGGUUUUUGUUUUUUUUUCGGUUUUUCUUCUUCUUUUUUAAAAUUUGUAUUUUUUGGCUUAAUAAAAAAUUAUUGUAUUUUAGGUCUUUUUUUUUCUUCCAUUGCUUGUUUUUAUAAGCACAUAUAAUAUAGCAAUAAAAUUUUUGAGAAUGAUUCUUUAACAAACCAACAAUUUAUAAACCAAAUAGAUACUUUGAAAGUUUAAUAUUUAAUAAUUUCGAAAGUAUUGGGAAUUGACCACACUAGCACACCAUGAAACCAUAAUGUUAAAACUUCUAAGUUCAUCUUGAACACAAAAUAUAGACUCCAUAGUUUAAAGUUCACCCAAAUAAAUACCGAAUUUUAAAGUUUAAAAAUCAUAAAUUUGAAUAAAGAAGAGAAAAAUAAAUUAAAUAUUAGAGUCUAUCAUCUAAAACUCGCAAGAAUAAGGUCUUCGAUUUUAGAGGUAAUAUAUCACUCUCUAUACUUCGCAUACACGACACCUAAAACAUUUCUAAAUGUACAUAAAACGAAAAAUAGUAGAAAAGACAAACAUAUAAUUAUAUAGAACAUAAAACCUAAAAUCAUAUUGUUCAAAUCAAAUAUUUAAUACAAAAAUAAAGACAAAAAACGACGUCGUUUUAGAGAGAUUCGGUUUUUCGGUUCGGUUCAGUUUUUCAAAGGCUGAAACCAAAAACCAAACCAAACUAGUUUUGUUCGGUUUAGUUUUUCUUAAUUUGGUUUGGUUUUUUUCGGUUUGGUUUUCGGCUUGGUUUUUUUUGGUUUUCGGUUUCAAAAUUUCACCCCUACCCAUGAAACCACAAAACACAUGUAUAUUUAUAUUUAUAAAUAAUACUUAAAUGUCAAUUUUACUCUCUUAUUUAACGGAAAAGUUAAUGGAAAUAUUAAACUGUCAAACUAAACAUAACUUGAGGUAUCAAAGUGUCAUCUUCUAAACAUUAGAUACUAAACUGUCCAAUUGGUCAUACCUGAGGUAUUAUUGGAGGAAUUUACCCAAACGAAUAAUCUCUCCAAUUUGGUACAUACACAUGCUACAUACUCACUCAUUUACGUAUUCAUUUUCUUUAAAAAAAAAAAUCGAAAAUAGGAAUUAUUUAUAUCAUUGUUUACUUUCCAUACGCGAAAGUGCAAUAAUUUUAGUUCCCUUCAAAAUUCAUUCAUUGGCUAAACAAGAAAAUGUAAGGGUGCUUCUAAAUACCCAGCAAAUUUCUAUGUAGACUCAGCAAGUUUUACCUUGUAUAACUUUUCCAAUAAUACCUUUAUUUUUAAUUAAACCACACCUAGCAAAUCACACGCCCAAACCCACACACCCAGCAAUCUCCUCUGAAUUCGUCGUGGUCUACUGAUUCAAGGUAAGGAACCUCUCAUGAGGGUUUAUGAAAGUAGAGUUGGGGAUUUACAUGAUGCGUGUGUUGGUAACUGUAUAAUUAAGAUACACUUCCAAUCUUCUUCAUAUUGCCCUGGAUUUGAUAGUUGAUGACUUUGAGAAACUUAUCCAAACAUGAAGCUUUUGUUUUGUAUUGAAUCCAUAGUUUUUGAAGAACGAAGUAAAAGAAUCUUUAAGAAAAUUGAUCAAGUGAACUAUGGAGAUUGCAAGGACCAAGUUUGGGUCAAGCGGCAACCACGUACAACUCAAAAGGACCUAUUGGAACCUCAUCAACAUCCUUUCUUGACGGCGAUGAUGGAAGAUAAUUGCAACUGUAAACAUCUUUCUUAUAGUUGCAAUUUUGAUGGACUUGGCUUCUCUGCUUGGGUUUUUUUUGCUUGGAUCUGCUUGGCUUUUGUCUAAGGCUGCCAUGUUUAUGGUCUUACAAUCCAAUGGACGAAAAAUGAAACUCUUUUAAGACUGAAUUUGUAUCGAGAAGUAUGAGAUUAUACUUUGUUUCUUGACUUUGUCUGAAACAACUCGUAACCAUCUCCUUCUCUCAGUGUAAACAAGAACAAAGACUGUAUACCUGCUAGAGUUGACUGAAACCAUGGGAAUCUUCUCGAGUUUCUUUGACUGUCAAACAACUAAGUGACGCAUGUUUCAUUUUUCAUCAUCAUCUUGUUCUUCCUCUUCUUCUUUCUAAUCUUCAACCCGGCCUCAAAACACUAGAAAAUGUCUUCAAAAAUCCAACCUCCCAAAAUCAAAACUCAAAAACCCAAGAACUAAAAAGCACCGAAUUUAAGAACCCAGAUUCCAAAAAUGUAAAUUUUGCAGAGAAGUAGCACCCGAGAUUUGAAAGACAUAGGGAUCUGAAAACUUAGAUCUAUCCCUUCUUCAAACAGAGACUUGUAGCCAAGAUUAAUUAUGCAAUUACACAAUUCCUAUUGAAGCUAGUAUUAAUUAUUGGAUUUGAUGGAGAAAAACUUAGACCCAACGAAUCAGAGAAUGAGAGAAGCGAGAGGAGCCCGUUGCCAAACUUGAUCGAGUUCGCGCGUUUCUAUAAUGAAUCAGAGAUUUGACGAAUAUUUGGGUUCUAGUUUUUGGAUUAGUGUUCGAUGGUUUUAGUUUUGGUUAAUUGUAGGCAUCUCGGAGAAGAAGAUGAAGGAACCAAUCUGAUGUUACAUGUUGAUGUUGGUGUUCUCUAAGUUUUUGUUUGGAACCGUCAGAUGUCUUUGGUGUGACGUGGCAAGCCUAGAAAAAUUCCAAGCAGAUCCAAGCAAAAAAAACCCAAGCAGAGAAGCCAAGUCCAAUUUUGAUAUGGUUGGUGAGGAAUCUAAGGUUCACAAAUCUGAAGCUUCAACUACUAACACCCAAUUGCUCCAUAUAGGUUUUGCUGGGUUUUAUUAGAAAGGGUAUUACUGGAAAAAUGGCUGGGUGUAAAUAGUUUGUCGGGUCUACAUAGCAAUUUACCGGGUACAUUUAGAAACUAAUUAAUCAGAACCUUAUAAGCUCAAGGCAUCACAGUUACACAUUAUGAAGGUUCAGAACCUUACAAUUACAACUGAAAGAUACAGUUACACGCUAAUAUGUUUGAGUCUUCGUUGCCGGACGUGCUAGACUCUCAGAGCUUUAUCCAGCGUCCUCUAAAACCUCUUCAAUAGAGAGCUCUUCCAAAGUUUCACGACCUUGCGAAUGACAGAUUUCUAGUGCAUACUCCGGAAGCACACUGCACACCUACCAUACCUUUUGGAACAAUCGAUACUGCUUACGACGAGCCAUGUGCUCGAUCUUCUGAAACUUCUUUACGACCGGACCCGUCUGGGGAAGUGUCGUUCCAGCAUUUUGGUUAUACAAGUCCACAACAUUUCAAAUGGUUGCUUCGCAAACCCAGCCUUCUUCAACCAGUGAAGUUUCUAAUAUAGAUACGAACAAGUACUACUGACUAUGUACGUAUAUUACUAUAUAUCCAUGGAUCUUAGUUCCAACUCGAUAUGUGAAUGUGGAAUUUCUAUAAUUUAAAGCAAAUGGGAUUUAAUUUGCAUUCUGUGCGUUUACAAUGUGGUGCAAAGUUGUACUGAACACUUCAUUCCAAGUAAAUUGUUAGUGGCAACUGGCAAGGGUAACAAGAAACCGAAGUCAAAUAAGAAAGGCCAACAUGGAUAAGUGAGAAGGAUGAUGCAACUGGCCAACUGCAUAGGUGUUUCCAUAGUCCAUACUAAUAUUAGUUGACAUUUGUUACAAUAAAUAACAGGUUCUAUAAAGGUGUUGGAAGCACUCUAAACUGUUUUGUUAAGAGCAUGAGAUUCUGCGGCUGAGCAAUGCUAGAACUGUUUGUUUUAUUUCAAUUUGAUUUGAUUACCAAAAGCGUAUUCUUUGGGAAUCUUCAUUGAAAAAUCUAGCAGAGAUGUGCUACAAAUUGGAACAUGUGAGUCUGUUCCUGUUGUUUACUUCCUUGUUUUAAGCAGUAAUUGUUUACUGAGUCACUAUGCAGAUAGCAACUGGUUCACUAUGUGAUAACUUAAGAAGGUAAAUCUUGACUGUAAGUCUGUAACUGCUGAAUCUGUUAAAAUCAUCCUGACUGGCCGACACUAUUCUUCAUUUCAAGGAACAUUAUAUGAUCUGAUUCAAUUGCCAGCGCAAUCAAUUUAGCUUGAGCUGAGAGGGUACAUCAGUUUUCUGCUAAUGUUCACCGCAAUCAGAAAACUAUUAUGGUGGCUUGAUGCUGGAUUGUCUUUAUGUAUACUUGUUGGUAUAUUUGGACUAAAGGCUAGUGGUAUUCUCAGAGACCACACUGGUGUUUGGAUAAUAUGGUUGCUGGUCAAGUAGUAGAAUCUGAAGGCUUGUUUAAAUGUGGCUGUGCGCUUGUCUUAGCGGUGGUAGUCUUGCUGUUGAGUGUGACUUUGGACAUUCUAGUAGUCGAUGAUUUGGAGCCUCUCAAUAAAUUAAGCAUGUGAUUAACAAGUGCAAUAUCAGUCUCAGGUUCUUGAGUUUGAAACCAGUUGAGUUUAUAGAAAAAUUACGUGCAUGGCUUAUGUCUCUCGAAUUGGAACCUUGACAAGGAGAUUGGAGUGAAUUGCAUGGUUGUUCUCCCUAAUGAUUAAUGUAAACUUGUAAACUUCCUAGAUAGGAAGACUUGUAUCAGCCAGAUGAGCUGAUUUACUUUGUUCUGUUGGGUGUUUUAGUCCUCCAUCUAUCAAAUAAAAAAAAUUUGAUUCACUCUGCUUGAACCAUCAAGUGUGCUAUUUUGAAGGAUGCCGCUGCUCAUGAAUAGGUUUCUUCCUACUCAAAUUAGUAAAUAUUUGUUACAGUAAACAGGUUCAUCACUGUUCUAGAUAGAUUUUGCUUUUGGAGCCAAUCCUUGAGAUUAUAUUGUACUAGAGCAUGAUUUUCUAUGUUUGAGAAAUUUCUUAUGCUUCCCACACCAGCAGCGGUUUACUGUAUUUAUUAAAUUGCUAAAAUAGCAUUAUUUGGUAAACAAGUGAGCCUCUUCCUGCCGUAAACUAAGAGCUACUUGUUUUCUGAAGCCAUGAAAGCAUAACACUGAAACAUCAUCCAUGACUACACAUACAAAUGAAUCCCAAAAACUCAAAUCAUUGUGCAGAUAUAAAACAGGUUCACUCUAUCUGAAGCUAUUCUGAAGAUGCUCCAUAAAUUACUUUUAGUUGGGACGGGUGCAAUCGCGCCGAAUUUCCCCUUGAGUUCCAGUUAGAACCCCAACUCUGCCUAACUUGGUCAUGGCCUGCACAAAAGCCUGAUUAAAAGCAGCAUUACUUGAUGCAAAUGUGUUGACAGUAGACCUUGAUCUUGAAUCCGUAAAUAGUAUCUGGUCAGAGGUGAAUAGACCCUUUCCUUGCUGAAGAUUCUGGAAGUAAGCAUUGUCAAAUUUCUGAGGUGUGGUUGGGUCCAUGUUAAUGGCAAUUCUUGGAUCCACUUUAACAGGACACAUCUGUCUGAGCUGCAUUGCAUACCCUGAGUUAAGUGUUGGGUCGAUACGAGUUCUGGGGCUAAAGUUGUAGAUUCGGUUGGAAAAGCGGUUGCAAUGAGAGAACCCAAGUGUGUGUGCACCUAAGAAUAACACACAAGAAGUUAUAAACACAUCUUGACUAUCCUAGUUAUACACACAAACUCACAAAUUAAGGCAUGUAGGAAUGUGUGACAAAGGAAAUGUUCGCUUGCCAGACAGUUUGACAUGUUAUCUCGUCAGUUUUCACCCUGUAUACUAACAGUUUCACAAUCGCCUGCAAGGUAUCUGGCAAGAGAACAUUUCCUUGUGUGACAACAUGAAUCAAAAUCUGACAGAAAAAGAAGACUAGCUACCUGAUAAUGCAAUCAUGUCAGUCUGGGAGAGACCAUGAGUGCUAAACAUGGUGUUAAGCUGGUCUAGAUUGAAAGUAGGUUGAGGAAGACGCCUCUGAACACUUGCAAUACUCGAUACUCUUCCAUCGCGCCUACCCAGUUCAACGGAAUACGAUGGUCCCCCGGCCUGCAUAUGACAUAGUUGCAUCAGACAAAACAUAUAGGGAUAAUGCUUCAUUACAUACAGAAGGAUACUUGUAGUAGUUAGACUAGGAUAAUUGUAGUAGUUAGACUAGGUAUAACUUUAAGUCACAUUCCCUAGUUUACUUUCGAAAACAUUAUUUGCUUUUCUCAAGUCCAACCUUAACAACUGACAUGAAAAUGACUGCAAAAGGAGACUUUCCAUACCAAUCUCACAACAUCUCUAGUUGCCAGAGCAAGUAUAUCUGCACAUGAAACUUUGUUUCUGCAGUUAGGAUCAUUAUCGACAGCAGCCUUGGCUUUGAUCACGGUGUCAAAUCCAUCUCCGGCAAGGGAAAGGUUAUCCGGGUGAUCCUUCUCAGCCUUGUUAGUUGGCGACUGAAUCAACACUGAAGCAUCACAACCCUGUAAAACAUAAGCAUAAGCUGUUAUAGAAAUGACCAACAAUGUAACAUCAACCUAACACUGAACAAACAUUAUUUGUAUUGGAAGUAGAAGUUGGAAUUCGAAAAGGUUCAGCUACUAACCCGAACCACGCAAUCGUGGAAGAAGAGUCGAAGAGUGGCUGGAACAGUCACAAAAGUCUGCUGGAACUUUUUCGACACGGCUGAGCUGACUAAGGACUCAACAUUGGGACAUGUGCCUUUAUAGAAGUCUGUCCUAAGCUGAGCAGAAACAGUUCCAAAGAGCAGAGGUAGGAGAAAGACUGAAAGAACAAUGAAACUACGAGCUUCCAUGUUUUUCUUUUUCUGUUGUUGAUGUUUAUGUGCAAUGUGGGACUAGAGACCUAUUUAUACAACUGACAUAAGGAAAAGUCUAAGACAAACAAACGCAUAUAGGAAAAGUAGUGGUGUUAAAAAACGAAGAACAAGGGUCUGGACCUUUUCUAUGACAAUCUGGCAGCUAAAUUAUACCCCAAGUUUCUUCUUAGUUUGGAGAUAGGGGUUGAGGAGAGCUGCUAAAGUAUUAUAAUACCAUGUUCUAGCACAUGGAAAGAAGUCAUCUGUAUAGUAAUUUGGUUAAUAUGAGUUACAAAUGAUUGAAUUAUUUGGAGAGAACUUUUUCAUAAGAAUGAUUUUUAAUCUUUCUAGCUGGAGUUUGUAGAAUCAUGACAGGCUAAAAAUGCAGAAGGAAAUAGACAUCUAUGAGUAGACAAUUAAAAGGACAGACCAAUUCAAUAUAAAAUCUAGGAACAAUUUGGAAUAUGACUACAGAUCCAGCCAACUAAAAUAAUGCUUGUUAACAAUAAUACUCAACCACCCAAAAGAAUUAAGAACAAAAUUUUAGUUACUACAACUCUAGCAUGAACACACAACUGUUUAAAAUAACAAUUAGGAAUAUAUAUAGUUUUAUUUCAUUUUUAGCACAUCCUUGCUUGUUCAAAUCUAUCUAUCAGAACUCUUCUCAUUGAAUUGCAUAGAUUAAGGAGGAGGAGAGCAGCUUAAUUUGAUUAAGGAAGGCAAUUAGCUGUAUAUGAUGAAGAGCAUGUUAACAUGAUAGAUGAUUUUAUAUGUGCAAGUAGAUUAGUGGUGUUGAGGAGUUAAGUAUAGAGAAGAGUCAUUUCAUACAAGUUAUGUCAUAUGAAAGUUCAUUUCAAAAAUCAGUUGACUAAGAUCCAAUACAAUCUUUGACCAAAAAAAAAAAAAAUCCAAUACAAUAAGAUAAANNNNNNNNNNNNNNNNNNNNCAAACCAAUUACUACAGACUUUUAAAAGUUCAACUUGCUCGAUCAAGUUCAUAGAGUCAUAGGUCUUGUUCUGUGAAUGGAAGAGAGUUAGGAGAUAUAUACAAAGGAGGGAAAGUUGAUAGAUUCAUUUCGAGAUGAAGGUGAAUUAUAGUGCUUCAGAAUGGAAAUACGUACCUAACAUAAGAGUUCAAAAGCUAGUAGAAGAAUUUCAUGAGAAAGACAAAAAUUGUAGAUGUGGGUAAGGUGGUAAGUCACGGUCAAUUGGUCAUCGAUUCUAAUAUAACAAAAGGGAACGGCAGAUUUCAGAUACAGCCUGAACCUAACAAAUGAAAUUCAUUGGAACUACGCCAUUUUGACAUAAUAAUGUGGAAAUCGAUGUCUUAUGACUCUUAUCUGCUGCCAUUUUUGGUUUAUUCAUGAUUUCGGUAUAAUGAGCAACUAACAAUCUAGAAAAACUAGUGCUUUGGGCAGUUUUCAGCUUGGGGUUCUUUUUAUUUUUUUGGAACAUAGAAAUCUUUUUUCCUAGCCUGUAGAAAUCCGAAAAUUAGUCCAAGGUAGAGAGAAAAUGAUGCAAAACAGUCGCACAAACUGGCCUCACUACUACUAAUGCAUGGUUAGAUCAAGCAAACAGUGGAAUCAACUGAUGUAUGAGUAUACAAUUCAUUUCCUUUGGUUUGAGUAUAUAUUGUAGUCGGGUAAAUAACUCCAAAGAAGAUUGAUAUUAAUUUGGGCAAUGCCAAUUUCCCUUAAUAUCAAAGUCAUUAAAAAGUUUAUAGGGUACUAGUUGUGCACUCCACCAAAUCUUAAUGUGUGUACCAAAUCAAAUUAAAAAAUCAAGAGUACUUUCUAAUCUUAUAAAACUUGACUGUUAUAAAAGCUUAUAGACAAACCCUAGAGUCUCGCAUACAUUUUUGGGAAAAAACGAGUAUAGGAGUCGCAUACAUUUGUGUGUAUAUAUGACUGUAGCUUAGGUCAGCUAUGUGCUCAAGUUGGUAAUGAAGCUGUGUCAGUAUCAGCAUAUUAUCCGCAUAAACCUGCAACAGAUUAUUCCAUCGGACAAUGCCUGGAAAUCGUCACGUUCAUCUUCUAUUGUCCAUAAUAACGUCGUUACGAUAUGGUUAUCAACAUUGUUUGUUGACUUUGUUUCUCUAUUAUUACAAUCAUUGUGAGCUCACAUGCUUCCUCUCUGUCAUUUUGUUCUAAAAGAGCCCGAGAGGAAUGUAAGAGUGAGCUUGCAAUUCUCGACACAAAUUGAUCAAUCAUUUCUAUAUCAUACUUGGGUUCGAACCGAAACCGAAAUACUGGGUAUGGACGUAUGAUAACUCUUCAGGUACUAGGAAUGGUUAUGUACCUGAAGAGCGCGUGAGAAAGGCAUUCCUAUAAACACUGCAAUUCUGAUCCAAAAAGCACAUCUUCGUAGCCAAUUGUAAACAGAUCCCUAAGCACAUUCAACCCCAUGCACAAAUAUAGAAGUAAUAAUUGUCGGAUUUCAUGCUCCGAAUGAAAUCUGAAUGAAACAUUCCAAAUUUCCGAAAAGAUCGUCAAGUUUCGCAUUGUAUAUCGGCAUUGUCAAGUAAGAUGAAUACAGUAACGCGCUACAUAUGAAGAGCUUAGAAGUGAUAAGAAGCAACCAAAACCCCCAAAACCCAAUUGACUGUUGAUCAACAAGAACAUUUACUUUCAACCCAUAUGAAGAGUUUUCAUCUAACAGAAACAUGUGGUCUCUCAUCCACCAUAGUAACUGUUGACAUCUAUUAUUUCACCCAACAUAAGAAAAAUUUCGGAGCGAAAAAUAGAGGGCAGAAUUGGUUGUCCCGACCCAUGUACAUGUGCAACAAAUACCUGCAAAGUCAAACACAGAUUACUAUCAUAUUUUGUGAAGAUAAUUAUUAUCAUACAUUAAGUAACAUCAGACUAUUCUGAGAAGAAAAUACCAUCAUAUUACCAUCAUAUGGCAAAUAUACUAUUGUGAAAUGAGAAGAAAAUAAUAUUCAUCAGAUGAAAUUUCUGAGAUAUAUAUGCAUAAAGGAGCUUAUUCAAGGAAAGUUAAAUGAAAGAAGGAAAAUAAUAUUUCGUAAUAUAAGCGGAUCAUACAAAAAGCUUACUAUUAAGUAUUAACCAUACGUGAAACAAUCAAAACAGAAAUCAAAUGUCAAUCUUUGACUUUCCAAGAUGACCAAAUUGAUGCAUUGGAUCAUUACUAACAAUGGCAAAGGAGAGUCCAUUAGUUUUGGAUUCUCAGGAUGUACCUGUACAAAAUAUAGCCCAGAGUGCCAAAUCUUUCAACUUCCCUGGAGAACCUUUCGAGGAUCAAGUUGCCCACUACAGUAACUGGAAGGAACAGCUGAAAGCUCCUGCCGCCCUCUCCACUCCUCUCCAGGUUUCAAUGUGAUUGGUCUCUCAAUAGCAGCAGUCUCCACACAGAGCAUAUGCUUGUACUCAUCAUCUCCAAAAUCAGCCAUAGCCUUUGCCUUCUUAUCCCAGGGAUUCCACACCACUGGAUGAAAGAAACCAUGAAAUAAUUUCAACGAACAAAAUGGGGGCAGGCAUUUCAAAGCAACAAGAAUCUCACUUCUCAUAGAAUAUAAAUAUAACGGGAUGAGAGAUAGCUUACAAUGGCUACUAUGAGAUGUGGACUAGAUAGCUAGCAAAUUCAAUGAACAUUUUGAAUUGUACAUGCUUUAUUAAUUCUUUUAAUAAAAGCAUGUGUCUUAUAAAUAACAGGACCAGGCUUCAUAUCAUCAAUCACAUUUGGUUGGGAGAAGGCUAUGUGGCAGUUGAUUGAUAUGAAAUUUCCACUAUCCUUCACUAAUCACUAUCACUACCUAAAGAAUCAAUCAAUCCAAAGCAAGGAUACAUUUAAUAUAAACAAAGAAAGAAAUGUGAACUGUUCCCUACACAGAUCUUAGGCAUCUUAUGGGCAGAAAAACUGCCCAGAUAUAUCUUCUCCCUAGUAAUAAUGCUACAAUUGUAUAUGCAACAAUGAGCUUUCUUUAUUCAUGGCUCAGGUUAAAUGGUGUAAAAUGCAAACACAACAAGCAACAAUAACAUCAUGAUGAAAGGACAUGAUAAAUUAAAUUUAUUCAUCCUCACCAGCAUCUGGAAGACCAUCUUUACGUAUUACAAAGGUUCUCUUCUUCUCAUGAUCCAGAAUAGCAAUCUUUGUAGGAGUGCUAAGAUAUAUCUUGUCCACCUAAUCAGAGUUACAUAGAUUGAAAUUAAAUAUAUAGUAAAUAGAACCAUAUUAACCAGUGCAAAGUGAGAAAAUUAAUGGCCUAGUAAACUUACCUCUGAUUCAAAUGUUAUAGCAUCUCCUUGCUCAGUACAUCGUUGCCUGUUCUGCAUGUUGUCCAGAUAAUCGAGGGUCUCCAAGCCUUCUACACGAACUUCACUGUAGAGCGAACACCAGCACUAAUAAACAUUAAAAUACCAUCUAGAACUGAACUUAUGUUAUAAUGAAAAUUGCUUUGAAGUUGAAGACAUGCACUGUUGUGUUUUGGCUCGUUGAUAUGAUUUGGAAGUUAGGAUUCAGCAAGCAAAUCCAAGUCCAGAAAGGAAAGAGGUUUUUUCUAUAAGUUCUAGUAAAGUAAUCUUUCAAGAUCUGUUAGGAUUUUGUCUACUAGGUUUAGGAGUCCUAAAACCUUUUUGUAUCAGCAGCCCAUAUUCACUAGAAAUAGGAGCUGCAGGGGGUUUUCUAAGGUUAAGAUAGAGAGCACAGAAAACCGAGAGCUAAGGGUGAUAGAGAGAUCUAGCAGGGAGUUGGGGAUUAGCAUAGGGAUUUCAAUAAGUACUUGUAAUCAGGUUGUUAUUCUCCAUAGUGCUAGUGAUCUCUCAAGAGAGAUCACAUAAGUGGACGUAGGCCAGGGUUUUGGCUGAACCACUAUAAAUUUGUGUGUGCUGUGUUUCUAUCUUCAAGUUCAUCUAUCUACUUUGCUUAAGUCGUAAAGUACCAGUAAAGACCAGAAAAGAUCCUAGGGCGCUAACCACAAUAUGCACAAGACAUCGGGAAUUCCUGUUAGAAAAAUGACUAAUGGAAAAAGCUCUUUUUUUGUGUUACAGUCACGUUGUAAAAGAUUCACAGUACUCAUAUGAUCAUCAAAUGGCAGACCAUAUACAUUGAAAAUCAUGUAUUCAGUUUACGGAUUUAUAAUAGGGAACAUAACAACUCAUAUAUGCUCUAUAAAAUACCGAGCCUUGAUGAUAACUAGGUCCACAUCAGAGUUCACAAGCAAGACACAGAAAAGGAUGCAUGUACAUCCUAGUAAAUUCAUCUUGUAGAAGGCCCUAAUCAGAAUUUAGAUAAUUAGUUAUUACACAUCUACCAAAAAGAAUGAAUAGAUGCUGCAGAAGGUUUUCAAAACGAGUAGAUUAAAUGCUCUGUAAGAUGUAGAGGUCUAGAGGCUUGACCAAUCUGUCAUUUAAUUAGGAAUCAAAGACUUGUUUGUAUAACCAAGAAUCUUUGAAGCUAAUAAUAUAGUGUGUCUUUUCAUCAAUACUAUAGUUCUGUCUCUUCGUAAGAAUGUGAGGCUAGGUGAUGGCCUUUGUUCUAGGAAGGAUAAUAAAAAAUUAUAAGCUUCUUUCAAGUGAUUCACAAAGUCCUUAUGAGGGCUUUUUCAUAACUGGGAAUGAUUCCUAUAACUUUAUUAUCUGACAUUUCUAGCAUCCCUCAUUAUUACUGCGAGACAUUAUUGAGCUGUAGCACAUCAAACUUAAUCAAGCAUGAAUAUGCAUGUAAACCACCGAUAAAUAUUCUUGAUGACGGAGAAAGUAAUCAGCUAUUCCCAAUACAUCAGAUUGGAAGAAAAUUGCCAAACAAACCAAGUGGAUGAAAUAUUUAAGAAUUUCCUAAAUGUUUGGAUUUCAACCAACAAAGCGCGCAAGUUCAAUAAUUAAGCUUUUGAUACAUAAGAGGAAGUUUAAUGUUCUGUUGAUACUCUCUAGGUCCCGAAAUACUCAUUCCCAACUUCAUGUCCCAUGGAUGAUUACAUAAAGUUGUGGCAAUUGUACAUUACGUACAAAUGAGAAACAGAGCCUCACCGUAAGUCAAGUUCCUAAAUUUGAACUCUAACUGCUGCUAGGGCAGCCCAACCAUGUCAGUUAAUUGCUUUUUUUUUUCUUUUUUUUUUUUUUUUUGUCUUUUGGGAAAUGCGGUACGGUUGGUAACAAUGGGGAUAGUACAUUAAAAUUUCUCAAGAGUGAUAGCUCCUGUAUAAGAUAGGCGCUGUUACCACACACCAAACGUGUUGUCCCCCUCCUCUCCUCUCCUUUCUCACCUCUCUUCAUCUUUAAAUAAUAACACAACUUGAAUAAUUAUAAAAGAAACAAACAAUUAAAGAAAUAACCAAAUAAAAUAAAAGGACCACAUCCUGAAAUACUCAUUCCCAACUUGCAUGUCAUGCAGAUGAUGACAUGAAGUUGUCACAGCUUGUGCAUCCAAUUACAUAUACAUGAAAACAAUGCCUGACAAUAAGUCUAGUUCCCAGAUUUGGGUGCUCCAGCUGCUGCUAGGCCAGCUCAACCAUGUUAAUUAUUUGUGGUCUUUUUACUUUGGAUAAUGUGGACAAUGCAGACUGCCAUGAGUAUAUCAAAGGUUUCUCAAAAGCAACAGCUCUUGUUCAAAAUAGAUAAUCAGAGGAAAAAGUUUCACUAGCUUAAUAACUAGGAAGACUAACAAUUUUGAUGAAUUGCAAGUAGCAUCCUUUAUUUUAAUGUCCGACUAUAGGCUAUGAUAAUUUCAAAAUUGCAUAACCAGAAUUACAUAAAUGUUUGUCUUGUUAUGAGUGACAAUUUUAUUCCAUGCAUAAAGCUAUAUAUCACAUCUCUAUUUGAUAUAAAAACAGAUUACAAAAAGUAGUAAAAAAGACAUCAGUGAACAACUCUAUAAUAGCAAUUCUAACAUAAAUUCAGUUCAGUAAUUACCUGAUAUCUGAAACAGAGAAAUAAGUGUGAUACGCAAACGUGAAUGUGAAUGGCUUCCCAUCAGAGUUGGUAUUCCGGAUGCGAGAUGUCAACAUCAGAUCUCCUCCAGGUCCCAAAGCUACUCGCAGGCGGAACUCGUAACUUCAAAUCAACAAGUUAAUUUAGACCCAUUUGUGCUAACAAUGAAUGAAAAGAUUAAUUUAUAGAGAUUUUAAUUAAAACUAUCUCCAGAUACUUCAAUAAUUCAGCAAUUACAUCCCAGUAUUUACCUGUGAGGCCAAGUCUUAAUAUCAUCUUCAGUAGGCUUAAGGAUCAAAUCAACAAAAACCUUAUUGGAAGUAUUUGUUGGAAACGGAGACGGAUCAUGGUCAACGGUCCAAAAUCUGUUUCUAGCAAAUCCAUGUGCAUCAAGAGAACCAAGAUUUGAAAACUGCAUAGACAGAGUGCAAGUUCCCUUCACCAAGAUAAACAAUCAACCCAAGCAAGAAAGACAACUAGAAGAAGUGCAUACUUGUGGAAAACAAAUUGGGAUCCCCCCACGAAUUGCUUUUGGAGGCUUAAAUACAGCCUGCAGAAGAAAGAGAAAGUAUAAACGUUAAUUGGUUUCUGAGUUGAAGUGAUCAAAAGAAAGAUGACAAUCUAAGGCAGGAAAAAGGAUGAUGCCAAUAGGUAUUACCUAACCCGUACCCACUGUUACAUGCAUGAUGGUAAUCAAGUAUAUAUUGAAGCCUAUAAUAAACGUUCGAAAGCAAAAGAAUAUGCAAAGUUAUGUCCCAAAGUAAAAGCACAUAUUCAUUCACCCAAAAUACUACUUCUCUGAACUAUUCCAGACUACUCCUCGAUUAUCACCAACUUGCAUGACUUAUUGACGUAUCUUGACAGUCAACACAUCCUGACAUAACCAAUAGAGACCAUGAAAAUAUGCAACACGUGUAUGUAUGAGUAAUACACACACAGUCACUUCGAUAUGUCUGUUAUCCUGAAGUGAAAUCAUGGAGAAAGGCUGUUUGUUGACACACUAGUGCAUUUACUCCAACUCUAUGAUUAUGCGUUUCAAUAUUAGAAUGAACACAAUAUGCAAGACUUUUCAUGAAACUGUAAUCACUAACAAGAUUACUCCACUUUAAUAGUAAUACAACUAAUUCAAAUGUUAGAAACCACCUACAUUUAUAAGAAGCAAACGAGACAGAUACAAAUAAUUAUGGAUGACAUAUUGUUAUCUGGAACGUCAGCACUGCUUACUCUACAGUAUGCAAAGCCUUUUUCACAUUCUGAGUUUGAGUACACGCUUAAAAUGAUGGCAUUGACAUACUUCUCAAAGCUUUUGUAUUACAAGAACAUAAACUUUCACUCAUUCAACCAUGCAAAUGGUAUACUACCACAUUGUGACCCAAGAAUAGUUUAGUAAUAUGAUAUGUAUGCAACAGUAAAGCCAGGAAAAAUCAAGAGACAAUAAACAAUUGCUAAACUAUAUAAAAAAAAGAAAAAAAUAAAUACUGGUAACAAAAAGAAAGUUCCAUAACGUUCACUAGUAACAACAACUCUUACAGAAGAAGCUUUAGUACCUUGUUGCUGACAAAUAGCAAUUCCUCCCCCUGGUCAUUCUUCCAUGAUGUUACAUGACCCCCAUACAAAUACACCUGGAAAGACAAGAUAAAUAUAAGAUAACAGAUAUACACCUAUUCUGCAACCUGAAUUUUGAUAGGACCAUAAUAAAAGAGAAUGGUAAACUGAAAGGAAAAUGAAGUUUGUUCAUUUCAGAUAUGUCCAAAAUGUGAGCGUCAUACUAGUAUUUGGGACCUGGAAAAACUAUCCCUUAUAACUGUCAAAUGACACUCGUCCUACUACUAAUCUGCUGACACAGCAAUGACAGCUGUUCCACACAGUAUUUCGACUAAGCACAAAGGAUAAGAUUGAGAGUGUUAAACAUGGUCCUUGUGCCCUAAGCUAGGCUUGGUGGUAUAACAUAGUUUGACAGCAUCAAUCAAAAGGCAAUGCUUACUAAAUUAUCACAUUUAUCAGAAUCAAGUAACAAAACUCAUACAUAGAGAACACAAAUACUGCAACUUCUGACAGAAGUAUUUUGGUUUUGUAAAACGCAACUGCGGUUGAUGAAAAGAGCAUAGCAAUGCAUUACUAUCCCUGACUAAUAUGAUUAAACCUCAAGAAUCACCGGUGUGCAUGUACCAAGCAUUGUCAAAAUCGACAAAACAAGAAAGGUAUAUCUAUACGGCGGUCACAAUUGAAUCCCUGGCUCUUGAUUUUUCCUCACUCUUGUAUACAAAGACUUGCCUACACUCUUGAUUUUGUCCUCGUAACUGCAUAAGCUCAAGGAUUAGUCAUAACCUCACUCUCGAUUUCCUCUACUUUAGAAUCUAUCUUUUUCUAAACAAAAAUUGAAGCUAGGGUUAUAUAAUCAAAGAAGCACCUAGAAAUCAAAAUUCCUCGCGGUUUCAGAAUCAACAACCGGAGCGAAACAGAUCUAAACACAAACAGUUAACCAAACCGGACAAUCGGAGACGGAAAAAAGCACGAAACGGAAUCGGAGAAAGCAUCAGAUCUCGAGGGAUCACAGAAAGCGAGAGAAACCUCGAGAGAGGAUGAAACGACGGCGUUUAGUGGAGGGGAGUUUUACCUCGGCGAGACUGCCGCGCGGAUCACGGAGGACGACCUUGUCGAGGCCAUUGAUGCCCUUGACGAACUCAACGCCGUGAGAAGGAGGAGGAGGAGUGGCAGCAAUGGUGGGAUUGGGAACCUUUUCGCUACUCAUUUCUCUCUCUCUCUGCUUCUUCUUUCUGCGUCGCUUUGCUUGAGAAAGCCGCGCGCUUAUUUAUAUGGACUGUUAUCUUUUUAGGCUCAGUAGAGUGUGUGUGUGUGUGAUAUAGUUACUACCACCAAGUCACACUGCUAAGGUCACUUUCCUUUUUCUAUCUCUCGAAUUUUCUAUUCUGUUCUUUAAUUAAGAAAAAACUCUAUGCCGUCAGUUGGAGCAUCUACGUGCGACAUAAUAAGAAGAAUUAAGGCCCAAAUGAGAAAUUAAUCGGUCAUCGAUUGAUGUGAAAUACUAGUGCGUUUGUGUAGUCUUUGGCCAGUUUGACAGCUUUGACGAUAAUAUAUGCGUCGGUAAGAGAAUGUGGUUCUAAUAAAAAUACCUAAGUUGAGGACUUAUUCAUUUCACUCAUUUUUCGAUCGCAUAUUCACAUCUGGACCGUCUAUUUUGUAGAUAUAUAUGAGUAGAUCAUCUCUACAAAUUUUCAUUCAUAUUGAAAAUUGUUAAGGCAUUCAUAAAUGUAAUUUACCAAUUAUAAACUUGAACGGCUCUUGUUUCACAGAUUUGGAUCGUCCAUUGAUUUGAUUUAGUUUGAUUCCUUAACGAUCACCAAUUUAGCUAAAAAUUUGUAAAAGUGAUCUACUAAUAUAGACCUAAAAACUGAACAAUUGAGAUGGAAAAAUAUAAUUGAAAAGUAAGUGUAAUUAAACGAUUAAUGAAAAAGUCAUCAAGUAGUCCUUAACUUAGUGGUCAUCAUUAGAACCCAUCAUGUGUUGGUAAAUACUUUACUGUAAGCUUUCGUGGAAAGUAUUUAGUUUUGUAGAACCACAGUUGUGUGCUUAGCAUUUAGAGUCAAAUAGAUAAAUUACCUGCGAUGCGAAAUGUUUAUGUUUUUUUUUUUUAGGGAAAGGGAUGUGAUUCCGUGAGAGUAAACCCAUCUAUUGAUCGAAAGAUCAUACAACGAGCACUCUCGCUCAAACUAAGGGAUCUAAAGAUCACGUAGUACAUCCACUGCUCAACUGACUAAGUUAAUAGACAGGCUACCAUCCAAAAGGAUGAUAAUAACCACAAUCUACGAAGAAAAUAAAGUCCAAAAGGGUCGACAAUCAAACUAAACCCAAAAGACUAUGUCCAAAAAAGCGGACAUCCAAAAACUAAUUUAUUCUUCAUAACCCUAAUUCACAGCAUCCGUCUUGAUUGGCUUGGGGUCUAGAGACCUUCAUGGUGUACCCCUCCACCCGUCAAAACAAUGAACAACGUAGAAUGAGUGACAAAACCCACCCCGAAUUUUACUUUAAAACCCGGAGUAAAUCCUGCAGGAACCACCUCCAAGGAAAAUAUUACCAAAAAUUCGGCAUAAUCUCUUUUGAAAGUGGACAACCCUUCCUAAAGAAAACCUGCAAACACUUCUAAAAUUCUCAAUCCACCCUUAACUUCUGGAGCCUACGUGCUCCCCCAACAACCACCACCAAGAAUAAUAAUAAACUCAACUUCCAACUCAUCACAUAAUUAUCUAAAUAAGAUAACAUACAUCCUCCGCUAAAUAUUCUAAAAUGUAAUCAAUCCUUCGCCCACAACCGAAAUAAUAUUAUACAUCCCCAAGGGAAAAUCAAAGCUACUAGACACUAGAGGAAGCAAGAAAAACACUGGUAGGUUAAAUAGAUAACCUACUGAUGAAAGGUGGAGGAAAUGCGGGUGACUAUGCCUCGUCUCCUACUAGAUCCAACCCGAACUCUGGAGACUGGACAUUUUAAAAAGAAAGGCCCAGGGGAAAAAAUAUUUGAAACCGUUAGAGUGAGUGGACAAAAAUAAAUUUAAAAGAAAAUAAAUCUUUAUGCUUUCCCGAUUUAAUUUCUGUGGAAAAACAAUUAACGGUAUGCAACAAGCUCAAAAGCUUUUAAAAAUUUACCGAAUUUACCAAAACGUGACUAGCCGCGCUAGUCACCAACAUUUCAUAAAAAUAGAGCCUCUCAGGCUAAAAUAAAUUAUGUAUGUUUUACACUCGUCAUAUCCCUUAUAUGAAUUUUCUUGAAACAACAAAGACAAAUAGAAAAUUCACACAAGGCUACGACGCUUGCGUCUAACACUCACGUCGCACCAUAAUGGCAUUUUACCUCAUUAUGGUAGAAAAGACGGUGUAUAAAUAUAUAUACGCGCAUAUACCCUCUAUAAAUUAUUAUAUUUAUAUAGGGCUACGACGAUUGCGUCUAACGCUCACGUUGCACCAUAAUGAAAUUUUACCUCAGUAUGGUGGAAAAGCACGUAUAGCUAGCUAGCAUUUCUUCAUAUACAUAUUAUUCUCAUAAUCAUCCAAAUAUGGAUAUAUAUACAUACUCACCGAAAUUCUCAAUUUCGGUUAUUUUCCAACAACAUAAAUUAUUUCGCAUGCACAUUAUUUAAAACAAAAGUCCACUCACAAAUUAGGCCUAAGCCUGAUGUCGCUCCGAGGCUUCUUCUGCUCUGGCCUCCUCUCGUCCUGAACCAAAUAUACAAUUAAUUUCCCACUAAAAAUCCAAUAACUAAACAAAAUGGGCAAAAUUAAACGUGAGCCUCCCACACACUCAUCAUUGCCCAACUUCGCCAUUCUUAACUCAAAAUGGCUUAAACUUCACCGAACAUACCGGCAGCCCUAAUUCAACCUUCUACAGAUUAAUGACUUAAAUCCUACGGCCGGAUUCUACAUUAUUCAACCGCUAAAAAUACCACACUUCAGAAAAUCACAAACCUAUCCAAAUCUCAUCCGAAAAUUCCAUAAUUCACAUUAAUAAACUCACCUUAAUAUUCCACACUUAAAACUAUACAAAACUCCCAAACAGUGGCGGUGGCGCCGGUGGGUCCGCGGGCAGCGGCGGCCAGAGGCCGAUUCCGGCGACCUCCAAUGCCCACCAAAUUUUAACAGAAUCUUCCUCUCAACUCCCUCUACAACUUCCUUAAUUAGCACAACACCCAAUUCCAAGCCUAACUAGGUCAAUCGAGCAAAAACAACACAGAAAACCCUAGAGCUUCAAUUAAACAUUUCACCCUAACAAGAUCGAAUUAGACCAACUCCUUUUGAGGGAUUGCUCACCUUGAUGAGGGCUACAAGAUGAGCUAAGAAUCACGAGUUAUGGUGACCGGAAAUGGGAGUUCCAACGAAGGACAGUCCAGCGUCUCCGGUGGAAUAACUCCCAAUCGGCGACGUUACCGGCGGGGACACUAGGCCGGGAAGAGAGAGGAGGUGGCGGGGCUCCGAACUGGACUGGAGCGGCGGCCGGUGGCUGGCCAGACGGCGGCAGGCGAUGGCUGGAGGAUCCGACAACGGGAGAGGUCGGGAGAGAGGGAAAACUGGGGAAGAGAGAAGAGAAAAGAGAGAAGGAAAAGAGAAGAGAGAAAUGGCUUUUGGGCCUCUAACCCCCAAACCGGGCCGACAUCCUUAUACACUAAAACCCAACUCUAAAAUUUACACCCCAAAAAUAAAAUACCCUAUUAAAAAUUACCUUUUACUAGCUAAAAUUUAUUAUUUUUACUGUCGUCACAUUUUUCUCCAACGAAUAAUUCUCCGAAAAUAACCGUCCCCCAAACCUCUCUAGGGACCAAUUAAACUAUAAUCUCAAUGACGGAGACGGUAAAAUUCUUAUUAUAAUCAAGCUAGUAAAUAAGGUAAAAAUUUAAGGGUCGGGAUGUGACAAUUCUCCCCUCCUUAUAAAAAUUUCGUCCCCGAAAUUUACAUACCUGUCAUUCGAAGAGAUAGGGAUACUGCUGCAUCAUUUGCUCCUCUGAUUCCCAAGUAGCUUCUUCUACUUGAUGACUUCUCCAAAGCACCUUGACAAGUGGGAUUGUCUUGCUCCUGAGCACUUGCUCCUUUCGGUCGAGAAUCUGAACCGGCUCCUCUUCAUAGAUCAAAUCUUUCGUCAAACUGAUCGGCUGGUCUUGCAGCACAUGAGAGGGAUCGGCAAUAUACUUGCGAAGCAUGGAUACAUGAAACACAUUAUGUAUCCUGGCUAAUUCUUGAGGCAAAGCUAACCGAUAAACAAGUGAGCCAACUCGCUCUAUAAUCUCAUAAGGGCCAAUAUACCUCGGACUAAGCUUCCCACGCUUACUGAAACGUACUACCCAUUUCCAAGGAGAUAAUUUCAAAAACACCCAAUCACCCACUUGAAAUUCAAGAUCUCUCCUACGGACAUCUGCAUAACUCUUUUGCCUACUUUAAGCGGCCUUGAGUCUAUCUUUGAUCACUUUAAUCUUCUCAUUUGUCUCAUGGAUUAACUCUAGGCCACAAAGCUCUUUUUCCCUUACUUCAUUCCAACACAAAGGCGUACGACACUGCCUCCCAUAAAGUGCCUCAUAGGGAGCCAUACCAAUGCUAGAAUGAUAGCUAUUAUUAUAAGUAAAUUCCAUCAAAGAUAGGUUCUUAUCCCAACUCCCUUUGAACUGCAAGGCACAACCCCUUAACAUAUCCUCCAAAGUCUGAAUAGUCCUCUCGAACUGCCCAUCAGUCUGAGGAUGAAAAGCAGUGCUGAAGAGUAAUUGGGUACCUAAAGCUGCCUGAAGAGCUCCCCAUAAUUUAGAAGCAAAUCUAGGAUCCCGAUCCGACACUAUUGAUUCAGGCACACCAUGAAGCCACACAAUUUCAUUCAUAUAAAGCUCCGCCAAUUUAUCCAAUUUAUACUCUUUCCCACUGGCAAGAAAUGUGCAGACUUGGUGAGUCUAUCCACAAUCACCCAAAUACGAUCAUGCCCUUGACGGGUACGAGGUAAACUGAAAACAAAAUUCAUGGUGAUGUGGUCCCACUUCCAUACUGGAAUAGGCAACGGCUCAAGCAAUCCAGAAGGCUUCUGCCUUUCAGCCUUUACUUGCUGACAAAUCAGACAUCUACUCACAUAAGCUGUAAUUUCCCUCUUCAUGUUUGGCCACCAAUAAUAAUCCUUCAAAAUUCGAUACAUUUUUGUGCUACCCGGAUGAGCAGCAUAAGCAAAACUAUGAGCUUCCUCCAUUAUCUCACUCUUCAACUCUUCAUUUCUUUUUGGAACACAAAGCCGAUUCUUAAACAAUAAGGUCUUAUCCCUUCUAACUGAAAAAUGAUCGGCGGCAGCUCUGCUCAAAGCUCUUUCUAUCAACAGAACUAUGGAAUGAUCAUUAUACUGUGCAUCCCGCACUCUAUCAACCAAAACUCGCCUCACAUGAAAACUGGUUACCAACGCACCAACCUCAUCUACUGCUAAAUCCACCCCUGUAGCUCGCAACUCACAAAGAAGUGGAACUCGAACCGUCUUUAUAUGAGAUAAAGAUAUGGAGGGAUUUCGACUAAAAGCAUCAGCUACCACAUUAGCUUUUCUGGGAUGAUACUCAAUAGUGCAAUCAUAAUCAUUGAUUAACUCCAUCCACCUUCUCUGUCUCAUAUUUAGCUCUCUUUGGGUGAAUAUAUACCGAAGACUCUUGUGAUCGGUAAAAAUCUGACACUUGGCUCUAUAAAGAUAGUGUCUCCACAACUUGAGAGCAAAGACUACCGCUGCAAGCUCUAGGUCAUGAGUAGGAUGAUUCCCCUCAUGUGGCUUCAAUUGCCUAGAAGCGUAGGCAAUAACUCGAUCAUGCUGCAUCAAGACUCCACCUAGACCACGUCUAGAAGCAUCACAAUAAACCACAUACUCUCCAUUAUCAUCUGGAAGUGCCAAAACAGGAGCACUUGUCAAGCAAUUCUUCAAUUCUUGAAAACUUUGCUCACAUUGAUCUGACCAUUCAAACUUAACACCCUUCUUGGUCAAUCUUGUAAGAGGAGCAUCAAUCUUUGAAAAAUCUCGCACAAAGCGACGAGAAUAACCUGCUAACCCCAAGAAACUAUGGAUCUCCAUCACAGUGGUGGGUCUUCUCCAAUUUGACACUGCUUCCACCUUUUGGGGAUCCACACUAACACCUUCUGCCGAAAUCAUAUGACCCAAUAACCACACUUUAUCUAGCCAAAACUCACACUUGCUAAACUUAGCAUAUAACUGCGACUUUUCUAAAGUCCGCAAUAUUAUUCUUAGAUGCUUGGCAUGCUCCUUCUCACUUCUUAAGUAAACCAAGAUGUCAUCUAUGAACACGAUCACGAAACGAUUAAGAUAUGGACUAAACACCCUAUUCAUGAGAUCCAUGAAUGCCGCGGGUGCGUUAGUAAGUCCAAAUGGCAUCACCACAAACUCAUAAUGACCAUAUCGUGACCAAAAAGCAGUCUUGGCUAUGUCCCCCUCUCAGAUCCACAACUGAUGAUAACCCGAUCUCAAGUCAAUCUUAGAGAAAACAGAGGCACCCCUCAACUGAUCAAAUAAAUCAUCGAUCCGAAACAACGGAUAUUUAUUCUUCACCAUGACCUGAUUCAACUUCCUAUAAUCAAUGCAUAGUCUCAUGGUGUCAUCUUUCUUAUUAACAAACAACACCGGAGCACCCCAAGUAGACUUCUGCAAUUGAGUCUUCAACUCUUUCAAUUCCGCUAGAGCCAUUCUAUAAGGUGCCUGAGAGAUAGGCAUAGUUCCGGGAAGUAAUUCUAUAAAGAAGUCUAUCUCCCUUGCAGGAGGCAAACCAGGCAACUCCUCAGGAAAAACAUCCGGAAACUCCCUUACUACUGUAAUAUCUUCUAUUCCCACAACUCCUAUACUUGUAUCCGCCACAUGAGCUAAAUACGCCUGACAACCUUUAUUUAAUAAUUUCCUUGCAGCAACAACGGAAAUUAGACAACUCGAAAUAACAUCUCUUUCCCCUUGAAAGGCAACCUCAUAUCCACUUGGACUUCGAAGCACCACUACUUUCUGAAAACAAUCUACCAUAGCUCUAUAUGUUUCCAAAAAGUCCAUUCCCAAGAUCACAUCAAACUCCAUUAUCUCUAAAGGAAUUAAAUCGGCCUUGAAAUUAAAUCCCUCUACUAAAACUUCACAACCAUUAAACACCUAAUUAAUUCUCAUCACCUCACUGAAGGGUAGAGACACAUGCCACUCGCCUGGAAGAGACGAUGAUGGCACAUUGUCAUGGAGGGCAAAUCUACUAGACAUGAAUGAAUGCGUGGCUCCGGGAUCAAUUAAAAUAAAUGCAGGCUGACCAAAAAUUAAUAACGUAUCAAUGAUGACAUCUGGAGAAGUACGACCCUCUUGCUGGGUCAUGGCAUGCAGUCUAGCGUGAGUCAUGGGACGUCCACGCUAACCACUACCCUGCUGAGAGCCACCUCGGGCCGAUGCACUGACCUGAGCACCACUACUGGAGCGUCUACCUGAAGACUGACUAACUGGAUGAGUAGGGGUGCGGGUGGUCCUCUGAGCCAACAAUGGACAAUCUCUUCUGAAGUGGUCCUGACUACCACACUCAAAACACCCAGAAAAUUGCAGCUGCUGCCCAUAAAAAAAGUCUGACCACCAGACGUCCCACCCUGGGAGCUGCCACCAAAACCAAACUGUCUAGUCUGCUGCCUACCCAACUGGCUCCGAGAAGAACUUCUGAAACGUCCCUUAGACUUGCUUCGUACACCAGAGCUAAAUCUACCAUUAUUGCCACUACCUGCUGAAGAUCUAGAAGCGGAUGAAGAAGCAGCCUUCUUGGAUGGACCCUGACUGGGGCCACCGAAAUCUCGUGGCCGAGCACUAUAAAUCCCCAUAGCUCAAUGGCCAUGGCUGCAUGAACAGCAUCAAGAAAGGUCGGGUAAUAAACACCCAUCACCUUGUCUGCGUACACUCCACCAAGUGCCCCAAUGAACAUCUCCAUCCUGGUCCUCUCAUCAGGAAGCAGAUAAGACACAUGGUAGCUCAGGGAAGUGAACCUUUGCUCAAACUCUAUGACACCCUCAUCAUCCCUCUUCUUCAUAUUCAGGAAAUCUGACUGAAUUAUGCUGCGGUGGGCGUGACUGAAAUACUGCCCUAAGAAGAGCGUCUUAAACUGCUCCCAAGACAUAUUCUGAGCAUCCUCAACAUUCCUGCUGGCAAGCGACCACUAGUGAUGUGCUGAAUCAUCCAGAAAAGUCACUGCCAUCUUCACCUUCCUUUCUUUUGGCAAAUCGGAGCUCGCAAAAGCCUUUUCCAUUUUGUCUACCCAAGUAUAAGUAUCAAGGGGUCCCUUGGCACCCUUGAACUCUCUUGCUCCAACCUCAUAACUUCUCUCAUCUUCACUGUAUAAGGGUGUGGAGCUCGAUCUAUAACAUCCCUCAACAUAUUCCCAAGAUCAUCAACUAGUCCCCUGACCUCAUUGCCCUCAUUGGCAUUGGUCGAAGUGGCUACACGGGGUUGGCGUGGGCGCCUAGGAGGCAUAGUAUCUGAGGAAGAAGAUAUUUAGUAGUCCAUAAACAAGACUAACACAACUAUCACACAUACCCAAUAACACAUAGCAUCCAAAGCAUAAAAUGCCAAUGAAUCUGCCGCGGUCGGAUCAUCACUCUAUAGAGACUACAUGCUACCUAGGCAAAUAUGAUAGUGACAAGGAAGCAGGAAAAGGAAACCUAAAGCUCUGAUACCAACUGACAAGACCCACCCAAAAUUUUACCCUAAAACCCGGAGUAAAUCCUGCGGGGACCACCUCCAAGGAAAAUAUUACCGAAAAUUCGGCAUAACCGCCUUUGAAAGUGGACAACCCUUUCCUAAAGAAAACCUGCAAACACUUCUAAAACUUUCAAUCCACCCUUAACUUCUGGAGCCUACGUGCUCCCCUAACAACCACCACCAAGAAUAAUAAUAAAAUCAACUUCCAACUUAUCACAUAAUUAUCUAAAUAAGAUAACAUACAUCCUCCGCUAAAUAUUCUAAAAUGUAAUCAAUCCUUCUGUCAGGACCUACCCCGGAUUUCCUCUUGAAAUCCAGAAUCAACCCUGCGGGACCCACCUCAAGGGAAAUUCUACAAAAAUUUUGGCAUAACCUCCCUUGAAAAUGAGUAACCCUGCCUGAAAGAAAAAUCAUCAAAACCCAUACACUUCUAAAACAAUUUAAUCCACAUCUUCUGGAGCCAUCCGCUCCCCUAAUAAACAUCCACCACCUCAACUCACAUAAAAAAAUCAAAAUAAUUUCAUGAAUUUAAUCUCUCAUACAAACAUACCAAAUGUCUUUUUCAUCACUCCUAAGAGGAGUCAUAAGCUCUUAGCACACACCCACAAUAAAAACAAUCUUAAUAUCACUUAAAACAUCCCAUAGUUAAUCAGAGCAUCUACUAGAAUAGAAGGAAAUACAUAGGUAGGUUAACUAGUAACCUAUGAGAGAAAACUAGAUGAGGUGGGAAAUAUGACUCGCCUCCUACUCUCGCCGAACAUAACUCUGCAGACUGGGUAUUUAAAACGAAAGACCUAGGGGAAAGCAUUUAAAACGUUAGAGUGAGUGGACAAAAUAAAUAAUAAAAAUACGGACUUAAUGAUAGAGCAUUGAAAUCAAUUUAAUGCUUUUCUCAUAUUUUCCAUUGAGAAAAUAUUUAUACAUGCUAUUCUUGGAAAUCUUUCCGAAAAUAAUUAUAGACAAAACUAAUGAACCAAUCUCAUUGGUUCCCAAUAAAUCAAUAAGAAUAGGGAAGAGGUUUCACCAUAACAAUGAGCCUCCCAGGCUAUAAUAGCGUCCCACGCUAAACGCUCUACUCACAUAUGAUGAGGACCGCUUAUAAAGUUAUAAUAGCGUCCCACGCUAAGCGCUCAACUCUCAUAUGAUGAGGACCGCUAAAUAAUGGCUAGCUAACAAUAAAUAUAUAUAUAUAUAUAUACUGAUCGGUUGCCUCCCAGGCUGUAAUAGCGUCCCACGCUAAGCGCUCUACUCACAUAUGAUGAGAAUAGCUAAUAAGACUAUAAUAGCGACUCACAUAUGAUGAGGACCGCUAAUUAGGUUAGCUAGCAAUAAUCUAUAUAUCAACCGUUUUAUGGUGAAGUAUAAUAUUAAACAAAAAGAUCCACACUUCCCCAAAUAAAUUAUAAUAAACUCAUAGCGCACAGUACAGUUCCCAACUGUACAUGGAAAUAAUAUAAAACACUUGACACGUCCCACGUGUCAACUAAAAUUAGCAAGAGUUCCGGAAAAAUAAGUGGAACUCGAUAAUCCAACAAAAUAUUAUAUCUCCAAAUGCCUUUGAAAUUAAAUAACUUUAGCACAUGCAUGAUAUUAAAAUCAAAGGUCCACUCACAGUGCUCGGCUAUGCUUGCCGACGGCCCGAGGCUUCCUCCAAAUGAUCCUCCUCACGUUCUGAACAAUAAAUAAUCAUUAAGCCUCCAAACCAGGACAAAACUUUAAUAAAAUUUCCAAAAUAAAAAGGAAGCCCAUAAUUUCAUUUCUCUUGCCCAACUUCUCCACUUUUUACCUAAUAAGACUCACAUUACUCCGCACUUACCGAAAGCCAUAAUUUAACCUUUUUAGACUUUAAAACCUGCUAAACCAACUGCCGGAUUUCCAUUCGAAUAACCGCCUAAAUCCUUUAUCAUUGAUAAAUCCUAAACCUUAACAAAUCUCCUCCAAAAAUUCCAAACUAUACUUCAUUAAACUUCUCUCAUUAAAACAAACCCAAAAUCAUGAAAAACUGCCCCUAAGGGGCGGCGGCACCGACCGGCAGCCUGAUUCCGGCGAGGGCCAAUGCUUCUCAAAUUUUCACAGAAUAUUCCUCUCAUCAUGCUCAACAACAUUCAUAACUAGCACUUAGUCCAUUUCUAAGGCUAACUAGAGAAAACGAAUCAAAACUUCUAUAAAUCCCUAAAAACUUCAAUUAUACAUUUCUCCAUAACAACAACGAAAUAGACUAAUUCCUUUUGAGGGAAUACUCACCUUGAUGAGAGCUACAAGAUGAGCCAAAGAUUCCGACCUAUGGUGGCCGGAGGUGGGAUUUCCGGCAAAAAGCUUCCCAGCGUCUCUGGCGAGUUUUCUCCUCUUCCGGUGGGCUAACGGCUCGGGGGCUAGGCCGGGGAGGGAGAGGAGGUGGCGGGGGUCUGGGCAGAGGUGGUCCGGCAGUCCCUGGCGGCCGGACAGCAGCGGACGGAGGCUCUUCUCCGGCGGGUCAAGUUGCACGGGUAAGGGAGGGAGAGAAAGUGACUGGUGAGGGAGAGAGGGAGAGAGAGGAAAUGAGGGGGAAGGGUUUUGGGUUGCUCCACAGCCGGCCCAGCUAUAAACCCAACCAAAAAUAAUACCCAUUAAUAAUUACCCCAUUUUUCCAACUCAAAAUUUACUCUUUUAAUAAUAACUUUUUCAUGCUAACUCCGAUUACAUAGCAUGUCUACGAACUCGUAUUAACGUCCUCUACAACUUUCAUAAAGAAUGUUUCCACUAAUUCCAAACGGAAAAGAAAGUCAACUUUAGGGUCCUUAAGUGGUAAACGGUUACUUAACACGGUAAAAGACCAAAAUAAUAUCAAAGUAAAUAACCGUAAAAUAACUUAAGAACCGGGGUGUGACACCUUCACCCACAACCGAAAUAAUAUUAUACAACACUGGUAGGUUAAAUAGAUAACCUACUGAUGAAAGGUGGAGGAAAUGUGGGUGACUAUGCCUCGUCUCCUACUAGAUCUAACCCGAACUCUGCAGACUGGGCAUUUUAAAAAGAAUGGCCCAGGGGAAGACAUUUGAAACCGUUAGAGUGAGUGGACAAAAAUAAAUUUAAAAGAAAAUAAAUCAUUAUGUUUUCCCGAUUUAACUUCUGUGGAAAAACAAUUAACGGCAUGCAACAAGCUCAAAAGUUUUUAAAAAUUUACCGAAACGUGACUAGCCACGGUAGUCACCAACACUUCAUAAAAAUAGAGCCUCUCAGGCUAAAAUAAAAUAUGUAUGUUUUACACUCGUCAUAUCCCUUGUAUGAAUUUUCUUGAAACAACAAAGACAAAUAGAAAAUUCACACAAGGCUACGACGCUUGCGUCUAACGCUCAUGUCGCACCAUAAUGGCAUUUUACCUCAUUAUGGUGGAAAAGACGGUGUAUAAAUAUAUAUACGCGCAUAUCCCCUAUAUAAAUUAUUAUAUUUAUAUAGGGCUACGACGAUUGCGUCUAACGUUCACGUCGCACCAUAAUAAAAUUUUACCUCAGUAUGGUGGAAAAGCACGUAUAGCUAACUAGCAUUUCUUCAUAUACAUAUUAUUCUCAUAAUCAUCCAAAUAUGGAUAUAUAUACAUACUCACCGAAAUUCUCAAUUUCGGUUAUUUUCCAACAACAUAAAUUAUUUCGCAUGCACAUUAUUUAAAACAAAAGUCCACUCACAAAUUAGGCCUAAGCCUGAUGUCGCUCCGAAGCUUCUUCUGCUCGGGCCUCCUCUCGUCCUGAACCAAAUAUACAAUUAAUUUCCCACUAAAAAUUCAAUAAUUAAACAAAAUGGGCAAAAUUAAACGUGAGCCUCCCACACACUCAUCAUUGCCCAACUUAGCCAUUCUUAACUCAAAAUGGCUCAAACUUCACCAAACAUACCGGCAGCCCUAAUUCAACCUUCUAAAGAUUAAUGACUUAAAUCCUACGGCCGGAUUCUACAUUAUUCAACCGUUAAAAAUAUCACACUUUGGAAAAUCACAAACCUAUCCAAAUCUCAUCCGAAAAUUCCAUAAUUCACAUCAAUAAACUCCCCUUAAUAUUCCACACUUAAAACUAUACAAAACUCCCAAACAGUGGCGGCGGCGCCGGAGGGUCCGCUGGCAGCGGCGGCCAGAGGCCGAUUCCGGCGACCUCCAAUGCCCACCAAAUUUUAACAGAAUCUUCCUCUCAAUUCCCUCUACAACUUCCUUAACUAGCACAACACCCAAUUCCAAGCCUAACUAAGUCAAUCGAGCAAAAACAACAGAAACCCUAGAGGUUCAAUUAAACAUUUCACCCUAACAAGAUCGAAUUAGACCAACUCCUUUUGAGGGAUUGCUCACCUUGAUGAGGGCUACAAGAUGAGCUAAGAAUCACGAGUUAUGGUGGCUGGAAAUGGGAGUUCCGACGAAGGAAAAUCCGGCGUCUUCGGUGGAAUAACUCCCGAUCGGCGGCGUUACCGGCAAGGACACUAGGCCGGGAAGAGAGAGGAGGUGGUGGGGCUCCGAACUGGAUUGGAGCGGCGGCCGGUGGAUGGCCGGACGGCGACAGGCGAUGGCUGGAGGAUCCGGCAACGGGAGAGGUUGGGAGAGAGGGAAAACCGGGGAAGGGAGAAGAGAAAAGAGAGAAGGAAAAGAGAAGAGAGAAAUGGUUUUUGGGCCUCUAACCCUCAAACCGGGCCGACAUCCUUAUACACUAAAACCCAACUCUAAAAUUUACACCCCAAAAAUAAAAUACCCUAUUAAAAAUUACUUUUUACUAGCUAAAAUUUACCAUUUUUACCGUCAUCACAUUUUUCUCCUACGAAUAAUUCUCCGAAAAUAACCGUCCCCCAAACCUCUCUAGGGACCAAUUAAACUAUAACCUCAAUGACGGAGACGGUAAAAUUCUUAUUAUAAUGAAGCUAGUAAAUAAGAUAAAAAUUUAAGGGUCGGGAUGUCACAAUGAGGGUUACGUAAAAGCCCGCUCGUAGUGACUUGAACCCGGAACAACAAGCACAAAAGCAAAACGUGAGAGAAGAGGGAAAAUGGUCCGGCCCAAAAGGACCCAACCCACUCCCACAUGCCUUCUCCCAACCCUCAGCCCACUUGGACCCGAGAUCCAGAUCAGACCACCCAAGCUAGCCAUAGCCGUCAUCAGUCGGUCUCUGGCGGACGAACGCCUCCUUCAGCCAUGGGAGAGGCGAACAUGAAACACAGACGCACCCAAAGCAAGUUGUCACCGCCUUUGAGGUGCUGCUAACCUAGUUGCAAACGCCGCCAAGCAAAACAACAAAUCAGUUAGUCAGGAAAGCGCAGAGCUAAGCCGCUCAUCCUCAAACUUCUCCCUAGUAGAUUCGCCUCCCUCCUAGCUUGCAAGGUGCUCCAUCUCCAAAAACCUCGACGGUCACCACUUACCACCAGAUCAUAUUCUUCGUCGUCGUCACACCUAGCCGCACCGCAAACCCUAUCUUGAUCCCAAACAAAUAUAAACAUCUGAUUAUCGCUUGUAUACUACCCCGCGCAGGCUUAGACCAAAGUCGCCACCACCCUCCUGGCUGGACGUGAAGCCAAAAUUUCCUACCGCCGCCUGCUCUCAAAACCCUAAUAAGAUUUCGAUGUUUAUGUUAGCAUAGACUACUCUAAUUAAGCUAUAUAAGUUGUAAUAGAUCAGCUGCUUGUACUAUUUUUUACCCAUAAUUGCAGAAUUAUAUACGUGAGCUUGUUACACUGAGGAAAAAAAAGGAGCAUUCUCAUAUAGAACAAACCAUGUCUUAUGUAUGCAGUAUGCUCACUUAAGAGACAAUAUGUAAGAAACCGUAAAGUACAAUUGAAUAUGUGGGUCGAAAAGAAAUGCGUAUUUUUAAUUUGAGAUGCAUUUGUCUCUUGCGUUCUCUUAAAACUAUUAAAUAGAUGAGAGCAAGCCUUUUUAUAUAGGCUUAAUUGUCAAUUUACUACACUAAGAUUCAUUUAAGUGUCACUUUGCUACCCUAGGUUCAUAUAAUUAGCCAAUUUGCUACAUUUCGUCACAUCAAUUGAUUAAUUGCUCUGUCUAAACAAUGAUGUAUUUUGAAAAUGUAAGGUAACAAAUGGCUAAAUUUGAAAAUGUAGGGAAGCAAAUUAGUUAAUAUGGAAAGCCUAUAGUAAUAAAUUUGACGUAAGGGUAGCAAAAUGGCUAAAAUAAAACAUAGGGUAGCAUAUUGGCAGAAAUAAAAGAUAAGGUAGCAAAUAAGGAGCUUUAAUUUCAAAGCGGGACACCGCUCUAGAAGGGAUGCCCUUAAAAUUUCAAAGCGCUAUAUAUAUAUACAGUCAUUUUCUGCUAAGGAUGUCCUUAUUUAUUCUUACGGUGUAGAUUUCCACUUUAGACUCACUUUUCAAUUGAAUUUUCACAUCUCCAUCGUCUAGUCUUUAAAUAUACUAAUGUAUAGAUCAUCUCUACAAAACUUCAGCCAAUUUGGUUAUCAUUAAGGCACUCAAAUUCGAUUAAACCAAUGGAUGAACAUAAUUUUGUGGAACUUGAACCGUUCAUGUUUAUAACAGAAAAAUGCAGUCUUGAGUGCCUUAAUAAUAACAAAAUUGGCUGAAAUUUUACAGAGAUGAUCUAUACAUUAAUAUCUAAAGACUAAACGGUGGAGAUAUGAAAAUUCGAUUGAAAAGUGAGUCUAAAGUGGAAAUCCGCACUGUAAUAAUAAAUAAUGACAUCCUUAGCCAAGAAAGUCUAUAUAUAUAUAUAUAUGUGUGUGUGUGUGUGUGUAAAUCGUUCCCAACAGGCGCGGGUAGUUUCUGGAAAUUAAAAAAAAACUAGGUAUAUUAUAUAUAUAUUUUUUUGCAUUAUUGUUCAAACAAUUUGAGGAAAAUUUUGUUGGGUUUUCUAAUUUGUCUAUGAUUUUUAGAGUUUCUCAAUACUUUCAUCAAUACCUGCUUUUUUACGAAGAUUUCAUAACGUACACUUGAGCUCCUACACUUUGCAUGAUUGUAUUGAAAAAUUUUCUUUGGCCUUCGGCCAAAAUUAAAGUCCACCCCAUGUCUAAAUCCUGGAUCAGCCAUUGUUCCCCAACCCCUAGUAAGAAUGCAUAGACGCCCUGAGUUACGCGACCGGAGCUGUGUGCUUUGUCCCCGCCACAAGUGUUCACCAUUAGAGUGAGCACGAAGAGGAGCGCUGCUAGAGAGACUAGGGUUUACCACGAGAGUUGGUGUAGAGAUUUAUGUAUUACUCUGCGAAAACUAUUUUACACAAAUCAUCAUAUGCAAUUCAUCUCACUAAAAAUGUCACAUAUCAUCCUGUGUCAUCUCAUGUACGUAUUUAGUAGAACUAACAAAAAAAAAAAAAAUUAAUUAAUUAAUAAAUAAAUUGAGAUGAUCGGUAGUCCUUUACAGAACUGUCUCUUUUGGUAGUCCUUUUUACACAACGUUGAAAACCCACGUAGGGUUUCGUAUGGAUGAGGGGGAGAUGUGAGAUUACUUGACGAAAUAAAAAAACAAAGAGGUGAGACAGGAAAAUGCAUUUGAUUCAUUCAUGUAUUGCUGUUUUUCUUUUUCAUUUUUUUCCUACGAAGUCACAGAAGCAUCCAUCUGGUAGACUGGAUCACAUAUCACAAUAUGUAAUGGUUGAUCAAUAGAGAACGCUUAAUUAUACAUACAAGACAUGCAUACAAAGUCUAAUCAUUCAAAACUUCGCAAAUGGUUUUUAUUUUUUUGAGGCAACAAAUGGUUCUUUUAUGCAAUCAAAAGCUUGCUAACAAAAUAAAUACUGAAGUCUAUAGAAGAGGAAGGGAGAAAAGUCACACUUUAUUGUCAAAAUAGGAGCCAAUUGGUUUUUACACUGCUGUACACACUUCCAUUCCUCAGAGUCUCAAUACAACCUAAGCAUGCAUCUGCAUGCCCCCUAAUUGCUCUACUCAAAUCAGAUGUUGAACCCUCAAAGAAAAAAAAAUCAAUUUUUGAAUAAAAAAUGAGAAGGAAAGGCAAAACUGCAAGCUCACAACAAACCUGUGACCAAAGAAUAAUACCAAGCAGCUAACUUAUGGAAAAAUGCAAACCUAGACAUUCAAACCAGCUCAACAAGGCCAAAAAAGGGGGAAAGUGACGAGAAAAAAAAGUGUUUCUGUCCAAUCAUGAAAAUAAGCUUCUUGGGAGCAGAAGCAGCUAAAAAUGCACUGAUGCUGUCCCUUUCACUCCUGAGAAAUUGAGUACUGCCACUGCAGGAAGAAUAAGAUGAGCACUGUAAUUAGAAUGCUUCCCCGGUUGCUAGUGUAAGAUAAUCAAAUUGAUAUUUUCGCAAGAGCUGUACAGUUUUGGUGGGAAGCAUUCCAAUACAUGCAACAUAAGCUGCAGGAAGCUGAAGAAAAUGAAGAGCACGAGAAGCUUCAAAAUAGUUGAACGGCCAUUUUAAGCUUGUUCUGCUUCCACUUGGGUAACUUAUAGAAAGCAUCCUUUGCCAUCCCAAGAUGCUCCCUGAACUCUUCUGAUGACAAGUAAAUCUGCUUGUGCCAUACAAGGACAGAGUUCAAGAUGGAAACUUAAAAGUAUAUAAUCAGUACAAUGAACUUCAAUUUAUUACCUCUCGUUUUGUCACAUCAAUAUCUGCAACAGGAUCUGUUGAUGUUGUUUUAACGCGUUGAUAUGGGUGAACAGGAAGACCUUCGUCUUCUGCUUCACCCUCUUUUACAUCUUCCUCUAUCGUGAGGGAUUCCAUUUUGCUGCCCAUACAAGUCUCCUUGUUAUUUGUCUCUGAUUUUGCUUUGGGAGGUCCUGCACUCACUUCAUCCAUUAAAAAGGUGCUUUAAACUAUGCAUCUUUUAACAACUGAAUGCAAGAAUUUCUAAUCUAACUUUAAGGAGCUUAACCCAUUUACCUUUAGGUGAUCUUGGUAUAUUGUUUUCUUUUUUUUCAAAUCCAGCAGUGAGUGCUGCUAUAGCUGAUGAUUUUGAAGCCACUUUUGAUGUAUCUGGGGUCACAGAUUUUGGAUACAGUUGGGAUUUUCUAACCAUUGGGGGUGGAGUUGAAAGGUUCCUCGCAUUAUUACUCUCAAAAGUAGCAGCCAGUGCAUUGAAAGCUGGAGACCUGCCCCUAACACGUACUCGGUCAGGGCUGAAAGACAUGCUUCUGGAACGCUGUGAUUUUUCUGGCACACUAGACCUCCCACCAUAAGAUACGGGUGUUCUUCGUUUGGGUUUCUAAUCAUGCAUUAUAUAUUUAAUCAGAGAAUACAUGUUUGUUAAUCACCAAUCUGGCAAUAAGAUGUGAGAAUUGCAAGUGCAGACUCAAACUUGCAUCGAGUACAGACAAAAAUUUCAUACACACUAGCUACAGAACACUUAAAGAGAGAAGAAUUUGAAACAGACAUGGAUUUAAUUGAACUACUCCUAAAUCAUAUACUGGAUCCAGAACAAUACCACAUCUCAUCUAGAUUUAUGUUGACAGACAAUUUCAGAUAAAACUAUAUGUUGGAGCCAAAAUAUUGGACUUCAGAAAAGAGCACAGGACAUAAACCCCUAGAUAGAUUAUUCUCCCAGUAAUAUCACACAAUAAGUUAGGGAACCAUUAUUCCAUGAGGUGUGCCUAUGGAAUAAUCACAGGUCAUACUCAAUAUUUCUUAGAACUCUAGGGAAAAAAUAAUCUACUACGAACUCUAGGAAUGAGCAAAGAACCAGAAAACCAUAGAUAUUUACAUCAUUUUCUCUAUAAGAUCUCACAUAGAAAUUAUGCACAUAGACUUUUGGGACACAUCAAAAUAUCAUACUGGUCUGUCAUCGAGUUAUUGAUCGAUAUCAGCAACAACAUAUAAUCAAGUGAUUUCAGGUGCAUGUACUUAUGAUCAGGAUCAAAACUGACAAGAAUGCUUACAUCUACAACUGGAGAUCGCCCAUGCUUCACUAUAGUAAGUUUUCGUUGGAAUGAAUUUCCAUGCAUCUGAGCCAGAAAUAAAAGAGACAGGUCAGAACUUCGAAAAGAAUUCAUGUUGCAUCGACAAUUUUACAAGUCACUCACAUUAGACUUUGCAGAGUCCCAGGUGAAGAAGCGUGUGAAGAAAGGUGGCUCACUUCCUUCCAUGAUGAUAUAUAUUGGAGCUUCAUGAGAUAAUUUUUCCAUAAGAAAAUCACGCUCAAGAAAUUUCUGUCAGAACAAAGAGAUUGCAAAAAAAAAAAAAAAAAAAACAGUAAUAUUAGGAAAAGUAAGAGAUAGGACCAGUUCAGAACUAAUAUCACAUACUGAGGUCAGAACAAGUCUCUGUAGAAAGUUGAAAAAAAUGCUAAGAAAGAUAUAAUUCAAACAGAGUAAACAAAUUUUGCAAACAGAUUAAUGAAAUGUUAAUGAGUGCGGCUAUUGAGACCUCCAAAUUUGCUCAGUGUACCUCUCAUUCUCUCUACACCUCCAUUUUACUUUUAAAUACAAACAUUUUCUCAUUGGACCUCCUUUCAAAUUCCUAAAAUAGCCUUGUUUUUGUAAUUCACAUAUAUAUUAAUAUAUUACUCAUUACACCUCUUAUUCACUCACUAUACCUCCAAUUCUUUUUUUUCUUUUUGCAUGCGAACAUCCAUUCCCGACCUUGAUUUCUUAAUUUUCUUUAUUUUUUGUAUUUUUUUUAUUUUGCAUAAAAUGUCACUAGACAUUCAUUUUUUGAUCAAAUUGUAAGAAAUAAUUUUCAAUGACAUCAAUUUUCAAGAAAAGUUCAUUCGAAUCAUAAAGAAUACUAUUCUCUUAAAUAUUAAAAAAAAUAAGGAUUGUGUCUCAAAUUUUAUUUAUCGAUCAUCAAAUGAAUGUUCUUACAUGAACUAUUCUAUAUUUUUAUUACUUUUGUAUUUCUAUUUUACAUAUACUAUUUUUUUUGUAAGUUUAUAUUUUUUGUUUUUAUACUCAUGAUGAUAAAUUAUUUUAAUAAUUGAUAAUUGAUAGAUCAUAAUUUGUAAAAAUAUUUACUUUUUUUUAUAAAUAAUUGAUAGAUCAUAAUUUUUGUAAAAAAUUUUCACUUUGUAUAUGCAUGUGACAUGUAUGAUAAUAUAAAUAUAUAAAUACUUUAAUAAGUAUGUGAUAAAACUAGAAAAUAAAAAUCAAUAAGGAAAAUAAUAAUAUGCAAUCCAUCAUGGUAUUAUUUUGAAUUAGAAAGUUUAGAGAGAAUAAAUGUAAUAUUACUUUUUGUUUAAUCAGUGUCCUUAGUAGUCAUUGUAUAAGAGGAUAAAUAUGUCAUUUAAUAAUUCAUAAUAAAGUGAGGUCAAGUGAGCAAAUUUGGAGGUCCCCAUAGCCGCACUCUACAAUUCAUAACAAAAAUAGUUGACAAUGUCCAAGUGGCGCACAUUAAACUGAAAUUCAUAUUUUGGUACUAAAAUACUAGCCAUUCAAAAUACAGCUAUUGCGCUUAGUUCAAUAAUCGUACCUCCCCGAUAGUUAAAGCAUGCAUUUUAUCUUUGGAGUUGACUUCUUCGCCAACCCAAACAAAGAUAUCAGAGUGACAAUCCAAGAUGAAUAUAUCUUCAGUCAUCAAAUCAUCCUGGGUGAAAUUAUAUAUCUCCACUACCUGCGCCAAUAACUUCAAUUAAAACUGCAUGCAAAAAUACAUCCAAAUGAUCACAUAACUUGAUGCAAAAGAAAAAAGCCUCAAUUUCAUGUAAAUUUUAAGCUGAAUGGUCAUGCAGAUAUGGAUACAGCCGUCAAUUACUGUUUCUGGACAUAAAAAGGUCACUUACACAUCAAGUCUCAGACAUAAUGACACCAGGAGUUUGAUACUAAAAUAUAUAUGUAAGUUACUUUUUUGAAGAUUAAAACCUAAUAUAUGAAGUUUGCAAAUUUUGAAGCAAAGCUAGUAUGAAGCAUUAUAUUAUAAGAAAAAAGGAAACUCAAGGACUGGAAAUGAUAGAACAAACAAUGUACCUUUAGAUUCUCUGAAGAUUGACGUGCAAUGUGGUCGCAUCAAAAGAACAGAAAGAAGAAAAGUUAAAACACAUCAUGGUGUAAACUAGAUUGUAAAUAAAAUUAGAAUAUAUGAAAACUUCACCGCCCAUCAGAAAAUUUCAUACCAUUUGAGAAAACACAGGAAAAUAGGCGAGGAUCACUUUCUGCAUCUCUUACAAUCUUUUGGCCGGAAUACUCGGCCUUUGCUCCUAACAAAUCCCAAAACUGUUCAGAUUCGGAAUUUUCCUUUUGUGGUUUCGUCUGAAGAUUUGGCUGUAGACAAUUGGCAAGGAAUAACUAUUCAGAUUAAGGAGAUUGAGUUGUGAAAAGUUAAUGACGAAUUCUUCACAGAGAAAACAAACAAAAGAACUGAAAGCACUCUCCACCACAACACAUGCACAUAGAGCACAUUUGUGGAAAUGCAGGAGUGCACAAUGAUGCAUACUGAAAAUCGUACUAGCCCUUUUCCCAUUACAGAUACGUACACGCAAAUAACUUCCAUUAGGCGGUAUAUCUAUAGCUUGUUUUAAUGACUAAGAGAAAACAUUGAGCAUGUCAGACCUUUAUUAGAUCCAGCUGCCUCUCAACAAGUUCCUGGUCAUCUGUGGUUGCAAGGCUUCCAGACCAUGUAAAGACAGUUGAGCCACUGUGUAAUAUAUAACAGUAGGCGGAAUUCAAAGAUGAUGCAACCUGAUAGAAGUGGAUAAAGGAAUUAGAUAAAAUAGGGCUCAGUAACUUCCAUAUACAGGACAGGAAUAAGUAGUUAUGCACACACAAAGAAACUCAAACACUGUAGUCUACAGGUAUCAUAUGCAAACAAGAAAAGGAAAAUAAAAAAUAAAAAGGACUUACUGCUUCAACUUGAAUUGCUUGCAUAUUAUCAGGUCCAGAUCCCUGGACACGAAAUAAAGCAACACCAUCUUCUUGAUAUGUGUCAUCUGGAACUUCCUUCUCCGCAACAUACUUUUUGUAGCCAUCACUUAGACCGCCCUGUGAGAUUUCACAUAGGUGUGCUCUAGGGGUUAGUUAAAAACAGGCAAUUGAGUAUAAUGUUGAAUAAGGAAAUAAAUUUCUUAAUGAUCUUUGUAUUAUCCGAGAUUGUAUGAUAUAGUUUACAAACCUUCAGAACAAUUAAGCUUUGGAAGAUUGAAUAGAACUGAAUUGGUUCCUUUCCUUCAUAGAUGCGAGCCUAGAAAUUAUUACAAAAAAUACCACCAGUAAGUAAGAAAAAGAAAUAAGGACAAUUAAUUACUAAAACAGCAUUAACAGUUUAGACACUACCUGCGCUGGCAGAAACUUCAUUGAUGCGACCAUGUUGCUUGCAAGUGAAAUAGCUGAUGCUCUUUCUUCCUAUUUUCAGUUGUAAUUCAUAAUUAGUAACCCUUCAACCAGACAUGAAAUCUAGAUGCAUUUGCAUUAUAAAGAUACAUAUUUCGAACUCAUGUACACACAAAUGCGUCUUGUAGAAAGAGAAGGUGAACUUUGUUAUAAAGAUAUAAUUUUGAUGAGUUGAUGUCCUAUCCCUAAACCCUAAACCUUUUUCCAAUAUUUUUAGCUGAUAAUACAACUUUAUCCAAAUUUUGAUAAAACUUCCAUCGAUAUCUGAUAUUUUUCUAGACAUUUCCAUCAAAUUUUUUUUUUUCAGACUAAGGGUAUUUCCAUGAAUUCAGAUUUUUUGGUUAUCCUUUCACUCGGGAGAAACCUCAACAGCAAUAAAGGAUUCCUGUAGAAAUACAAGUUUUUAUUGGAUCUGUGAGUUGAAUAUAGUAUACCAAAGAAAGGCAUUCACUUAUAAAGCUUUAAAACCUUAUAUUUUACUUAUCCGGUCAGUCUCUUUUGAGUUGAUGAGGGAACCCAAUAUACUACUGUGUUUAUGCAAAUCUAAUAUUAUUUUGAAAUAUAAAAAUAAAAAGUUAUUUAAACUGUUUCGUACUUCCAAUGUCCAUAAUGCUAAAGGCACUAAUUGUGAGAAAUAUAUCACAAUAAUAUGAAGAUGAUGCCAAAAGAUAACACUCUCGGCAAAUUAUUACCUCAACACUCUGUUUUCCAAACCAUGUUCCUAUCAGGUGUUCUUCUUUAUCUUCUCCUGGAUACGAGUACUGGAAGAUAUAGCAAUCUCCGCUAUAAAUUUUUGAUUGAUCAGAAGCAGGAAGAAGAAUCUUUUCCUGGCCAUUCACUCGCCAAACCUGCCAAGCAAAGACCAACUGGUCAUUAGCAUAAAUAACCAACAAGUUUUCUUGAGGUCAUAUUCAUAAUUCUAGCACAAAGAUGAGUAUUACCAUGAGUAAAAUUUUCCAGAAAGAGUUUAAAUUAAUAGCAAGAAUGGUCAGAGGCGAAUAUAUAGUUAAGAAGUCAACUAUUAGUCAGUUCAGACUUUUGAACUAACGAGUCAAUCAACAGAUUAUCAUAGAUACAGAUACAGCACCUGCAGAUUUCCUGUGCAAUCAAUGUAUGGUUGAGGUUCUUCUUUUACAGGAUCAGCUUUCAACAGACCCUUCACAUUAACCCCUUGACGCUUCAGAAGUGCUAUAAGAACAACCAAAACAACAGUAAUAAAAUUAUGCUUUUCUUUUUGAUGAUUAUUAUCUUAGAAAUAUUAGCAAUGUACCAUUGAAAAUAAAACAAGAAAAUUCAGAAGUAAACAAAUUCACCGACUGACCUGCAACCUUGCCCCUACCAUCCUCUGACACUGCUACUUCAACUGCUUCAGGCCAUGUAUCGAAUUUGGACUUAAACAUUACAGUCUCAAAUCCCUCAAUAACACGAAUCAUGUGGGAUUUUGACCGAUCAGGACCACGUACCAACUCCUAUAUGAUGAGAUCAAGGUAAUAUGAAGGUUCUUCAGAAUUCAAAUCAUUAUGAAAUACAAAUGUUGAAGAAAGUAAAGUUUAUAUAACAAAAAAGAGAAAACGGCAAGGAUUUGUACUUCUGCAGCUUCACUUGCACUCCUCCUCUCAUCAAGAGAUGUGUUUCUCCCCAUCCAAACAAACACUUCCAGCCCACAGUCUAACAGAUAGCAUUUACUUGUUUCUAGUAAUUCCCUUGUCAGAGAAUCUGCCCCAACCGGUUCUGCCUUCCCUUUAUCAACGCUAAAAGGCAAUUAUCAUUAUGUCAGAACUACAGUAUAAUGGGAUUUUAAAAUUCAACUGCUUCUUCCAACUUCAAUAAAUUAACUGAGGUACUCAAUAUGCUAUCUCAGUUUCUUUUGCAAGAAAAAAAAAAAAAAAAAAAAAAACAAGAUUCCUUGUACUGGAUCAAUAAAGUUAGAAGCAAAAAACGGAGGCGUACAUACAUAAGUACAUUUGUAAAUACUCUGAAUAUACUUAUCUUUUUAAAAACAAAGAGAGGGGACUUCAAAUGGGAAAGGAAAUUUUGUAUUAGCGCAGAUAUGAUUAUUUUGAGACUAUACCUAAUAGCAAAGGAUAAGUUGAGAUGGGAAAUUACCGAAGUAGCGUAGUAGUAUGAGAAUCAAAAAUUUUAUCUUCAUCAUUGGCUGUUUUCCUCGGAAGUGGAGCAAAGCCACCAAAUAAGGCCCAGAAUUCUCCAGUAUCAGCAUCCGCCAUCAACUUUCCGUCCUCUACAAGAAAGCCAUGUAGACUGACUCAGAGAGAGAAUAAUUAAAGUCGAUGAUCAUCAUUUAGCUUCCCGCCAACGCGUUUGACUUACCAAUGGAAGCUAUGUCACACCUUCCGUCGUGAUACGUGUCUUUAAUGUACUGAACAACUUCUAAAGCCUUUGCCCUUUCUUGAAUGGAUGAGUUGGAACCAUUAAACUGAAAAAUUUUAGACUUGGUGUCCAGAAUAAAAAUGUCGUCAUGGUUGAGUGAAGAUCGAGCAAAAGAAACCUGUAAUCAAACAAACAAAAAAAUGACUUCAAAGGAAAAUAAAACUAUGUAUGUCCUAUGCAUACUUGCAUACAUAUUAUGCACAUAAUUGCAUUUAAAUGUGAUAUAUCUAAAUAAAAAUACGCACACACAUGCAUGCCUAAUGAAUGGCCUAUGCGUACUUGCACACAUAUUAUGCAGAUAAUAGUAUAUACAUGUGUUAUAUUAUAUACAUAAAUAAUACACACACACAUAUACAAUAUAUGAAUAUGUACGAUAUCAUUCACAUAUUAUGCACACAUGUUAGAAUAUAUGAUUAUGUACGAUUAUGUACAUAAAUAUAUAUAUAUAUAAUGAGAUUUAUCCAUCCUGAGCAGAGAAUUUGUGCACAUAGGCUUGCCUCUUUGACAUGGACGACAUGUUUUCCUUUGCAAACAUACAACCGUGUUGUGUGUUCUUCAGCCUCAGCAUGUUUAAACCCAGAUGCAAUUCCACCUUCUUGAGGUAUGAUACACGGUUUAAAAUAAGAUAGAAACUUAGCAGUUUCGUGACCCUGUACUUCACGAUACUGAACAGCACGUCCUCCAAGAGCUGCAUCUAAUUCAACUGUCUUGAUGGCUGCAGUGCCUGCUUCAUCCUGUUUCAAAUGAUUACUAUAUCAGAAAGAUAUGCCAGGAAUUCUUUUUUAUAGCAAUAUCCCAGUUGAUAACUUGAACAAGGAAUACAGUACAGUUUACCUGAGAAGUAUCUUUACCAAGCCAAUAAUGGAUAUCAUGUCGCAAGGCACCACUCUUUGAGGCUGUUGUCUGAGUGGUAAAGGUAAAGGCCUCAAAUUAAUGAAAACCUCAAAAUAUCAAGUGCUUAAUUACAAGUAAAAUAUAUGAGAAUAUUAGUCAAAAGAAUAAAGAAACACAGUGACAUUGACGUAUAUUCCAUAUACCCUUGCUGUUGUAUAAUGUGUAUCACUUAAAAAGCAAGCGAAGCAGUAAAACUUUUAAGGAUUGGUUACCAAAAAGAUAGCUCCUGGACAUUUCAGUAUAAAUGAGUUUAAUCAGGCUUAAUCACUUACUUUCAAGAUCACAUAAGAGUCGCCCAUAAAAAACUUUCCAUGAGAGGAUUGUGGGACACUAACAGGACAAAAGUUUUCAAUGCGCCAUAUUUCCAGUCCACUAUUCAUUGUCAAGGUGAAACAUAACAGAAACAUUGCUAAGAAGAAGAUUAAAACCAAAACCCAUAUAAAUCCAAAAUGAAAAAGAACAGAAUGGAAGCAAAAUGACAGUAGCAGCAGAACUAUGGUUAUAGUUGCUGUAUUAUCUUUUGUCACCCUAUAAAUUGUAAACUGCAGUGAUUAAAAAGAAAUCCAAACUACAAUGAUAAGAACUGUAAGGGUCCUUAACAUUUCAUAAGAUAAAGGAUACGCCUUUUGUCCAGCUCCGUGGAAAGCUGGAUCCAAAUCUCUCAUGGAAACAGCCAUUUUGUGUCUGCAGCUUUAUCUAUUGAGUUAUCCACAAUUUUGGAUAAAUGUUUGGAGCCAAAUGAGCCUGAAACAAUGUGUGAACUACAAUGUGAGCGUUAUAGCCAUAACAUAGAGUCAAGUAGAACCUCAUGGAAGAGGGAAAAAAAAAAAAAUACCCAUUGUAUGUUUCUUGCAUGAUAUGUGCAAUGUGAAGCUUAGUUUACCAUAAAAUUUGAACCUCAUCAGUAGGCUGCACAAUGCAACUCACUAAUAGAGCUAUCUAUUCAGCUCUACACCUUUUGCUCAACAUGCAUUACAUAAUACUGAGAAACUAAGUAUUUGUAUUUCAAAAGGUGAAAUGAAAGAGAGUGAUUCACAGGAAAUGAAUGUACCACAUACACACGUAGCCAUUGAUGAAGCACUAAACAGGGCGAUGGUGGUAGGAAAGAUUAAUCAAAACACAAAACCAUGUUCCAUGUACAAGACCCCAUUUCAGAAUGCAAACACAGAUGAAUAGUGCAAAUACACACAGAGAGAGUCAAAGAUGUACUUCCAGCUAACAAUUCAACACAUGUGCCAGCGCACAUGGAGUAGCACACAAGCACAUCAGUCCUAAUUAUCAAAUGGGUCACGAGUUAACAACAAUUAAAGUUCAACUAAUCCCAGAAACCCAAAAUUCCAAAAACCAUGACACAAUACUCACGAAUUCCAAGUCUCGAAUUUCGGGACCACACAAUUUAUAAAUUCAAGCACUAAAAUUCAUGGAAACGAAAAGAAAAUCAUAUUCAAACAAUAGCAAACAUCAAAUGCUCAGCUGAAAUCCAGCAACAAAACACGGCCAUGUCUCAUAGAUCACUGAAAAACUCAAUCAUGAACACACCAACCCGAUCAAACCCACAUCAUCAACAACAGAGUAAAACACACAGAAAGACCAAAACUUCACACCUACCGAUCACUACCAACCAUGUAAAAAUGGGUUCACCGCAUUGAACUCAGCAAAAUGAAACCUCAACUCACAAACCCAAUCAACAAAAAGAAAAAACAAAAAUGGAAGAAACCCAAUAUGGAAAGUUUGAAUCUUUAUCAUACCUGGUAGUCAAUGACGCAGAAAAACCCAAUCAGAGUCCAAACUGAGCAGAACCCAGAUCCAAUCUAACGCACAAAAUUCACAGAGAUGAAUAAUUCAACAAAUUUUUCAGGAAAAAAAUAGAAAAUUGAUAAAGUGAAAUGUUGGGGAACAAAGCUGAAACGAAAACAGAGUAAAAGUGGGGGCAAGAGAAAGAAGAAGAAGAAUGAAGAAAUGGGUUAGAGAGAGAAAGAAGAAGAAGAAUGAGAGAAAAGUGAGGAGAGAGAAAGGGAGGGAAGGUUGGAGGGAAUGAUGAGUUGCCAGGCGUGCUUAUCACUAACGGCAACAAAAGAGAAUAGAAGAGCACUGAUGAACUGUAAAUUCCUCUUAUUCAAUUACUUCAUUAUUCAACAUUAUUAUAAUUUAAAAAUAAGCGGAACAUUAUUAUAAUUUAAUUAUUCUGCUUUUUUUAUUUUUUAUUUAUUAAUUCUAGGGUUUCUCCAAGUUAAACUUGUUUGGAGGGAAUGGUUACAACUUUGGGUAAAAAUCACCUAGAGUAGAAAGGAUAAAGGUGAGAGCUUUACUGCAAAAGUCAGGUAAUGAUUCUUUUGUUUGGUGGCAUUUAUUUGGUCUGUGAAUUAAAAUCUACCAAAGUACCAAUUGGGUUUGAUGGCAGAGGUAAAUGUAUGAACGGUGAAAAUAUAAGGUAAGAAGGAAUGACAUGAAAGGAAAUGAAAAGCAAGUACCUUUGGAUUGGUAGGACUUGUUUCUUCUUCUUCUACUACUGGCAUGUGCUCAUUGUGCUGUGUGUUUUUGUUUGUAUAUUGUGUGACAAUGUAUCCUAGUUUGAUCACUCCUUUUCUGGGUUUGAUUGAGAUUGUUUGUUUUUCUUUUUGUUUAUUUUUGUCAUGGAAAAAAAAUAACAAAAAGAAAAUGAAAUUGUUUUUGUGAAAAAGAUAAAAAAGGAAGAGAAAGAAUGUUAAGGGUUGGUCCGAGAAAGACUUGAUGGGUUAUUGGUGAUUGGAGAGAGCUGACUUCCGCUUUGUGAGGAUUGAAUUGGAAAAAAUGGAAAGAGAGAAAGAGAGAAAGAGAGAAGGUCGGUCACCAGCCAUCAUUCAUGCUUUGCCCAUAAAGCCUAAGGUGGGGCUUCAUGUUAGGGACCAACACACUUAUUUUUCUGCUCUCCUUAUUCACUUUCACCCUAUGCUUUGAUCCCUUAUCAUUAAACUGCGCUUAGCCCACUACCAGAUUUUACUUUUUAAUCGCAAGUUGAGUUUAAUUAGCAAUUGGUUAAUGUAAAAAAGAUUCAAAAUCUCAGCAAAUACUGAAUAAUUGCUGCAGAUUCUCAAAAUAAAGUAUGUGUAUAUUUUUGAUGGAGACGUCUAGAAUGUACCCAGAGGGUGCUGCACCCAGAUGUCUGCCCACGUGUCGACGAAACAGAGGCAAGACGUGGGUUAUCUGAUACGUAUAGGGUUGGGGUAAAUACGGGGUUAAUAUUUGGGGGUUCGGGUAAAUACGGGGUUAGUAUUUGGGGGUUCGGGUAAAUACGGGGUAAGAUUAUGAAGGUAAAUACACAUAUUUAUUUUGGUUUGGAUUAGAUUUUAUUUUUGUCGUGUAAGCAGAUGUAAAAAAAGUCGAGUGUCUGGGCUGUAGUGAGUGUUUGUUAUCGAAGGGAAAGAGGAAAGCAGGAACCAGAAUCGACUAAAUGGUGGAUUGAGGUUGCCUACCCAAACGGGAUCCCGAUACACCGCAAGUAUGGACGUUCUACAGCUCAUGAAGUGAUGCGAUUAUCAUUGUGAGCACACUGAAAUUGUGACCGUGUGUUUUUCCAUAUGAGCAUAUGUUUCAUGAGUGGAAGAUGGAGAUCACAUUUCAUAAAAGGCGAUGAAUAUCUGAUAGGCUAUUGGGUUUAACAGAUCUGUUGUAUACCAGGUGAUUUAAGUGGUGUACAGUUAAUUGUAUACCCGAUAACUCUGAAAUCGAAUUCGGUGCUACGUAUCGGGAUUGAAUAGCUGAUCGGAGAAUGUUUUGUUUUGCAGAUUAAAGAGAAGAGAUAUGGAUGACGGUGUCGAGAUGGACGAGAGACGAAUCAGGUCUCCGAUACCUUAAUUGUAUACCCGAUACCUUAGACGAAUCAGCGACGAAAAGUACCACAAUAUUGUCAUUUCAGCUGAGGAUGAGGAUUGUUUGAUUGAAGAUGCAUGGAAGGAUACCUUAGAAAUUAUGGAAGAUCCGGUGAUUUUGAUCGAGGAACAAGAAGUUGGAAGGGAUAAAAGCGAUGAACAUGGAAAUUCAAAAUCUGUUGGAGCGGAUGAUAUUACAGACGAAACAGUAUUUAGCUCUGAAUGGUAUGCCGCUUUGAAGGGAAAAAAUAUGAAGUUGCUUAGAUUUGAAGACGUGAAGGAUAUAAUUUUUAGCAGUUUGGCUGAAGCAGACAAGUUCUAUGCCUAUUAUGCAUUUGUUGUUGGGUUUAGUAGGAGGUGUUUUAAGCAUGACAAGGCAGUAAUCAAUGACGUCGAAUGUGUGAGGAGGAGGGCAUGGUGUUGUUCAAAACAGGGUUAUGAAGAUAGUGCAGCCAAGAAAAAGCGAAAGAAAGUUUACGAGACGGACAAAUUGGUUACUGAAGAAGCCGCCAAUGAAAAAGAAGAAGAGUGUGAGGACGCAACCGCGUUGAAUAAGAAGAAGAAGAAGAUGAAGACUGCUCUGAGGGGAAUUAAGUAUUCAAGAACAGGUUGUGAGGCUGUUUUUCAGGUGAGAUUGAAUAGGCGCACGAUGGAGUACGAAGUUGUGAGUUUUGUGCCAGACCACAAUCACGAAGUUGCUGAACCGUAUGAGAGACAGUUUCUACGAUCUUGCAGGGAGGUGACUAUGGAUAACGUCUGUGUUGUGCUAUCUCUUCAAAUGGCACAGGUGCCUACUAGUGUUGCGUAUGAAUUUAUGGCGCUUUAAGCAGGGGGUCCUGAGUUUGUUGGAUUCAUGUUGAAAGAUUUGUACAACAAAUUAGAUGAAGUGAAAAAAAAAUAAUAUGAAGAGGGGCGAUGCAGAGUCUGCCAUCGAUUGGCUCAGAAUGAAAGGACGUGAAGAAGGUCAUUUUUUUGGUAGAUUUACCCCCAAUUGGGAAGGGAGGCUUGCUAAUUUGUUUUGGAGGGAUAGUGAGUCCCUUCUUGACUACAAUGCCUUUGGUGAUGUUGUCAUAAUAGACAGUACGUACAAGACCAACAUAUAUAGUUGUCCCGUCAUUUUAUUUGUAGGUUCGAACAACCAUAGAGGGACUGUUAGGGAUGGCAAUAAUCCCCAGCGGGUAGGGUACCCACGGGUAUUCGACCCUAACGGGGAAGAUAUACGGGUAUAAACGGGUAACGGGGAUGGGGAUCCUUAGUAUUCGGAUUCUUAAAUCGGGUACGGGGCGGGUAUGGUAUUUUGAUAUUCGUCCCCAUCCCCACCCAUUAAGGAUGAAAAUAUAUUAUUAUAUAUAAUUAUAUAAUUUAUUAUUAUAUAUAUUUAUAUAUAAUUUAUAAAUAAAUAUUUAUGUAAAAAAUUAGUAAUUCUCUUAAUNNNNNNNNNNNNNNNNNNNNNNNNNNNNNNNNNNNNNNNNNNNNNNNNNNNNNNNNNNNNNNNNNNNNNNNNNNNNNNNNNNNNNNNNNNNNNNNNNNNNNNNNNNNNNNNNNNNNNNNNNNNNNNNNNNNNNNNNNNNNNNNNNNNNNNNCAUCCAAUUACUGUUCUAACGGAUAGGGAUGAAGUUAUGCGUACUGUGUUGAAAAAAUUGAUGCCUACGACACGACACAGGCUAUGUGCUUGGCACAUUGGUAGAAACAUUGGGCAGAAUGUGAAAGAUGUGGAGGUUCAAAAACAGCUGGGGAAGAUGGUAUAUACUUCGUAUACGAUUGAUGAAUGGGAGGAAGCGUGGGGCGACAUUGUUGCCAAACACGAGUUGGAGGAAGAUCCUUGGAUUACAGCUUUGUAUGAGAAGCGUGAUAGGUGGGCGGAGGCAUUUUUUAGGGGGAACUUUUGUGCAGGGAUGUGCAGCACUCAGAGAUGCGAGGGGAUUAAUUGUAAGAUUAAGACUCGAGUUUCAAGAUACACUCGGUUGGGUGAAUUUCUGCCCAGAUUUCAUUCCGGUGUUUGUUUUUUGAGAAACCGUUAUUUGUUGGACGAUUACAAGUCAAAAAACCACAAGAGGAAAUUUGACUCUCACCUUAAGUCGAUUGAGGAAGAUGCAUUCAAUACCUUUACGAACGAUAUAUUUGUUGUUAUAAAGAGUCACAUAAUGUUGGAGAACCGUUUCAGUGUUAGAAGUUGUGUUCAGUUUGGUGGGUCAGGAGACUUGAUGUUUUACUUGUCCCAAUAUGAGAGACCUAAUCGUAGUCAGACGGUGCUGUACAGUUCCGUAGAUGGGAAAUAUUCAUGUUCGUGCUUGCAAUUUGAGUCGGAUGGGGUGCCAUGUGCUCACCUUUUCUGCGUACUCAAAUACAGGAACGUGAGUGUAUACCCAAAAUCAUUGAUUGAAGACAGGUGGAUGAAAGGCGGUGGCAGGUUGAAAAUGGUUCCAACCGCAGCUGAGUGUGUUGAUGAGAAGUCAGGCAGAAUAUUGAGGUACACAACCCUGAUGUGUAAAGCAAAGAAGGCUUGCAUUAAUCUGUCUCAAUCAACCGAAGGCUUUGAUGCAGGCAUUGUUCAAUUGUCCGGGCUUACAGAGACAUCUAUGAAAUACCGGGAGGCUAAAAGACCAAGUGUGGUAGAACCUGUGGUACACCCGGUGCCUGACAAUGUCUUAAAAGACCUUGUGAUUGCGAGAACGAAGGGUAUGCAACGAAACAGUGUGCCUGCAACGAAUGCAGGGAACGUGAACAGUGGAGAAGGUAACAGGUGCAAAGAAUGUGGUGUGCCAGGUCACAACAAACGCAGAUGUCCGUUGGUAAAAUAUACCAAUAAGGGGUCUGGUAAAUGUCAGAAAUCCGGUAAGAAAUCAAAGACUGCCGUAUCUGGGAAGUCGGCUAAACCCCUCUGAUCCAACAAAUCUGGUAAGCCUUCGAAAUCUGGUAAGACCGGGACGUCUGAGAAUGUGGGAGAGCAUGGUUAUGAAGAGAACGUACCAGCAACAUCUGAAUUUGAGGAGAAUGAGCCAAACCAAAGCAAGAAUGCAUACACCACGCAGCGGUCACCCUCUGAUGUCGUUCACACUGACACAUUUGUAGGAGAUGAAUGCUAUGACAAUGUAAACAUGGCUGAUGUGAACUCCCAAGUUGGUAAGAGCUGUCAAAUUAAUGAAUAGUUGUAGUUCUGCUGCUGUUGGUUGAGACCUCUUUGUCUGGCAUGUUGUUUUGAUUAUUAGGUCUUAAUGUUAUGUGUUUUGUUGAAUUUGGCGGUCACCCUAUGCCGACAAUGUGGUGUUUUAAUAUUAUAAGCAGUUUGAUGUAGCCUCUGUAAUUUCGCACAUGUGUAUUGUCAGUUUAGAUUCAUGAACCCUUAUUCCAAUGUAUUUUGUUAUAGGCUCGUUUGUUAUAUUGACAGAUGAGUUGAUUCUGUUUGCUAUUUGGGGUUGAUACUGGGCCUGUUUGGUCUAUGUAAGUUGUAAAUUCCUCCUUGGAACGACAUGAAUCAUAGAGCAUUGUAUACAUGUAAGUUAUAAAUGGCAUGAAUCAUAGAGCAUUGUAUACAUGUAAGUUAUAAACUAACCGUUGUUGUUUUGUAACUGUGGCCCUUAUUGUUAUGGUGAAUUACGUUAGGUACAACAUUGUAUACGUUGCAUGUUCAGAAGAAUGUGUCAUGCAGAAUUCUGUGUUUACAUGCAGGAUACAUAACUCAGUAGUUCUAUAGGCACCUUGUUAACAAUUGUAUAUCUGUUUUUUGUGCAAAAUGCAGUUGAAUUUAAAAUAGGCAGCAUAAGCUACAAGAGCACUUAAUCGCUUAAUGACCCCAAUAAUAGUAGGUAUAGCCACAAUUUGUACAAAUCAUCAUACAUAUCUUAAUGUCCAUAAUGUCAUACAUUCCCACCCCAAAGGACCGUUAACAAAAGUUACAAAACCAAUAGUACAACUUCUUAUGAGAACAAAGUGUCGCAGCAAAUUUGUUUUUCGUUGACGUCCCGGGGGCGCGCCCACAUCCUGCUUGCUAUCAAAAUAUAACAACACUUGGUUCUCAUCUGAGUUGGACAACCUAACUGGUGGUGGAUAAAAUACCAUGACGUUACAGUCACCUACAGACACCAUUACAAAAGUCUGCCCUUGUUCUGCUCUGUACAUACUUAGAUUAAUUCAUACCAAUCAGUCCACAGGUAAUCGUCAUGGUCAUUGGUAGAAACCAUUACCUGUUGUGAUGGUGGCAGAAUCAACUGUUCCUCAACCAUGUUAGUUGGCUGGGGGUUUUGAAUUUCAAUGCAAUCUCCUGGUUCAUUUGAGAACUCGAUUGAGGGUGGGGGGUCAAUAUCCACCUCAGUUGGAUCUGCACCUUCAUGUAGAGCAUCCGCCCAUUGCCGAACCUGAUCAUAUAGGUCGUUUCCUGGGUCCUUCAAGCACUCAAGCAACAUGGCUGAUCUGAUGUGAUGCGAGUUGUAUUGCGGACAGAAUUUAUUAUAAAAAUGAAUAUCUAUGUGCUGAUGUUUUCCUCAGUGAAUCAAUUAAUGUUGUACAAUUCUUUUAUGAGGAAUGUGUGUAAAGGGUACCGUACGUUGCGUGACCAUGUAGUUCCAUAACACUGCAUGUUUUUGAUUGUGUGUAUGCCACACUCAUUGCCUCCAAGUUGUAUAGGUACUUUAGGUGGCGUAACAACCUGACAGAGCUUUAAAUCAAGAACAAAAUCAUUGUCUCUGUACCCCGCCAACUCUAGCACUUCAUCUAGGUGUAUCAGCUGUGCAAUGAACCAUAUCUAAUCAGUCUUCUCAUGUUAUGUAUGAAAAUGAUGUGGCCCGAUAUUGCCACAGCUUGUUUAAGUGUGGCGUCACUUACCGUCUUGUAUGCAAUCCUCGAACUGUCCACACCACACGAGUGAGGGUGCGAGAUGCACUAUCCCAUAUCUCUGCCACAAGCAGCUUCGGAUGUACAAUAAGCAACAACCAAUAUCCCCUUUCUUUCUUUGUACCAGUCUUAUCUCCAUAAUGUAGCGGAAUAAAUAUCUGUGAAGUUGUACGACGGUGUAGUUAAAAUACUAAUAAUUUUACAGUUUUCGUAAAUAUGGUCUGAGUCAAAAUUUGCUAACCGUUUCACAAUCCUCCAUGCGUCCAGAGAAACGAUACAUGUUGCAGAUGCUUCUGGUAUGUAUAGCUCUGCCAGUGACAUCCUCAUUUUGCCCAAACCCUCUGUUUGCAUUGUCCUAUGAGCAUAUAGAUUUGACAGGUUCAGUUGUAACAAUGUUGCGUGAUAAGCAGUGUAUUUAAGGGGACCCUGAUGUGUGUUAGAGUAUGUUAAUGAAUAUGGAUUACGUACAGAGAAAUAUGUCGGCAGGUACCAACAAGUGCUGCUUGAGGAUGAAAAAAAAUCACAGUAAUAGUUGAUCACCUGAUUGGAUUGACAAACAGGAAAAUACCAAGUUAGUGUUGAAUGGACAUAAUAUCGUCACAUGUUUAUAGGAUGAAAACUACCAGGUUACUUACAUCACUAGUGACAUCUGUGUCUGGCAGCAGCAAUUUGAUGCAACUCCGGUGCAACACUGACCUCCCACCACCUAUGUUGGCCAUCAUGGUCCUGCAAAUAGAAUGAACACUAGCGGGUCAUUAACCCAUUCUGAAUAGUUACAAACACGAAAAUGAAAACGUAGACACAUUAACCAACAACCCAUACCUUCCAUCUGUCCCUUGCGCGCAUAUGUAAUUUAUCAAAUGAAUGUCUGCGUUGGCCAUUUGAAACUGCAAGGUGUACGGUCCACCAUUGAAAUGCACGCUUUCCAUUCCACCUAUGUGUUGAUCAAGCAGGCGAAAUGAAUGCAGACCAACGGUGACAAUGUCAUCAUGCUUUGUUUCCUUAUUCACCAUUUUGUUAUACAGGCAUCUUGCAACUCCCCUAGGCACAACUGAUUUUGAAACUACCCCCUGACCUCUUCUUUCAUUCAAUUUAUUCGUAGGUAGACCUACUGGGCUGCUUGAACAUGCAAAAACUGCUUGGCAUUCCUUGGUUGGUGUUGCCAUUCCUUUAUCACUGUCCAACUGCACACAACAGAAACAAGGAUGGUAGAUAAUCUGUAAUUAUUCAUCUACUAACUACAACGUAAACAGGACAGCAGUAAAGCGGCGAUACAUUUUAUUACUGAUGAGUUCAUGGCUGUGCCUACUAAUGUUGAUCUAUAUUAUUUAUACUGUGUGCUUAACAUAACAAUUCUUCAAACAUGGUUCCAUCAAUUGGCACGACGGAAGAGCUAUUAAAGUUUGUAAAGAUAGAGUAACUUACGUCCAAACGUCUUGCACAAGGUGGUUUCAGUCCAUCCACCGCCAAUGUUACAAUGUUGUGGAUAUUGCCACAACCUGAUGAAGGUCUGCUCAUUGAUUUAGCUGAACUUCUGCUACCGAAGCCUGUUGCUCCAUCCUUCCCUUCUCUUUUUCGCUUUAUCGACGACCUUCGCUUGUCCAUCACUCUGUGUACAAUAUCCUCUUUCAUAGACUCAAUUACAUCUCCCAACUCCAGCAUCAUUUUUUUCAUUUCUGCCAGAUCCGGUCUGUACCCCCUACACAUGCCUGUCAUGUCAGCAAUUCGAGUCUCCAGAGCAUCGAUACGUACCAGUGCUUCGUAAAGAUCUUCGUGUACUAACCGAUUUAUUCCUAUUGACAGGACCCACCCCGAAUUUCACCCUGAAACUCAAAGUAAAUCCUGCGGGGUCCACCUUCAAGGAAAAUUUACCGAAAAUUCGGCAUAACCUUCCUUGAAAAUGGACAACCCUUACCUGAAAAAUCCAACUUAACACUUCUAUAACCAAACAAACCAGCCUCAACACCUGGAGCCUUCCUGCUCCCCAAGAUCAACAUAUCUCUCAAUAUAACAAUUACUCAACUCUAAUAAUCCCACAACCAAGAAUAAGGACUAUUAAUAAUUUACUAUUGGACUUCCAGAGCAUAUCUAAAGUUGAACGAAAAACAACGAAUAAAGAAUAUGCGGAAGCAGCUUUUGACUAUGCCUCAACUCCAUGUACGCUCGACCUCUUUUAAAACUUAGCCUGCACACUGGGCAUUUGAAACCGAAGGGCCCAGGGAAAAGUAAUAUAAAAACGUUAGAGUGAGUGGACGAAAAAUUAAACAAAUAACUGAUCGCAACAUAACUAACCAAACUUAAUUACUUUCUCAUUUUCCAAUAAUCAAAAAAUCUGUUGCAUGCAAGUGUUGGUAAAACCUUCAUAAAGAAAAUCCUAAAGAAAUGGACUAGCCCCGCUAGUCAAAAUAUUGACAAAGAUAAAUACUAACCUUCAUUGAAGAAAAUACCAAAACAAUGGACUAGCCCCGCUAGUAAAAACAACAAUAAAUAAUAAACCGAUUUAACCAUACAAGUGAGCCUCCCAGGCAAAGUACUCACAUACUCCCUACACUUUCAUGUCAUGAUAACAGAGAAGGUGCAGGGCUUGCGUGAUGUCGUCGACUACAUCACAUCACCCGAAGGCGGAAAGGGCUUGAGUAACCCCACUUAAAACGUGGAAGCUACAUCGCCUCGAAAAGCGGAACAACAUGCUAGCAUGAAUAAUAACGAUCCAACAAGUAUGGCAUAAAUAAAGAAACAUAAAUCCAUGUGAGUUUCCCCGAAACUCAUAACUUAAGCAUAAGUACGAUUUCCAACCAUACUCAAAGAAUUCAAAGAGUAAAGAUAAUAAUUAAAUUCGAUGACGUGUCCCACACAUAAAAAUGCUCAAUGAAAUAAUUAAUUUAAUUGAUUUUCACCUUUCGAAAACCCGGUAAUAUGCAAAUCUGGAUAUAAUCUCAAAUCCGAAAAUCAUAAAGAAAAUCCAAACUCAAAUCUCAAAUUACCAAUCCGAGCUCAAAUCCAUAAAUUAUGACCAACAUUUAAUCCAUGCAUCAAUCUCAAAUAAUUUCCAAGAUCAUUUCAUAUGCCGAAGUUAUAAUAUAUGCUCGGAAAAUAAAAUACUAAUUUAUAAAAUCUUGCAUGCAUAUUAAUUAAAAACCAAAAUGUCCACUCACAGAUUUAGGCCUAAGCCUGACAAAUUCCGAAUCACCACUCAAGCGUGGUCUCCUCGAAUUCUGGCACAACAACCAUGCUUAGGACCAAACUUCAAUUCCGGAAAAUAAUUACGUGAAUAAAAAUAUCUAACUCUCUUCCGUUUAACCCACUACUCUUAUUAGGGUUAAACUCACCGGAUUCACAUCAAACUCCACCACAACCUCAAAUCAUCAAUUCUAACAUUCUAGGCUAAAUACCAAGGAAAUUCAACCGCCGGAUUUUCAUUCUAAUAACCGGCAAAAUCCUUAAUCUUUUAAAAAUCCCAAACCUUAUCAAAACUCCUCCAAAAAUUCAAAACUAUAUUUCAUUAAACUCCUCUCAUUAUAACAAACCCAAAAACCUGAAAAUCAACCUCCAAGUGGCGGCACCGCUGCCUGCUCCGACGGCGACCAAUGCCUCCCAAAUUUUAACAAAAUAAUCCUCUCAUCACGCACAACAACUUCCAUAACUAGCACUUAGUCCAAUUCUAAGCCUAACUAGGGUAAUCGAAUCAAAACAUCUAAAAAUCCCCAAAUUCAAACCCUAGCCCGAAAAUCCUCCUACACACUUCGAAUUGGAUCAUUACCUUCUAUGGAAAUGUUACACACGGAGAGCACUUCCCAAUGGAACUGAAAUCAUUGGAAAUGGUGGCCGGAGGAGCGAGUUCCGGCAUCGGGACUCCACCACGCAGCCGGAGCUUCCGAGCGAGCUCUCUCCCUCACGGUGGCGCUAGGGCAGCUCUCACCGGUCCAGGAAGAAGGCUGGGUCGAUGACCGACCGGUGCGCCGGUCUAUGGUGGCCGGACGGCGGCGGUCGGAGCCGAGGAAUCCGGCGGGUCGGGGUAGGCUCGGGAGAGAGAGAGAGAGAGAGAGAGAGAGAGAGAGAGAGAGAGAGAGAGAGAGAGAGAGAGAGAGAGAGAGAGAGAGAGAGUAGACG
rnacentral:lncRNA from 1 species